rnacentral:lncRNA from 1 species
GUGAUAGUAGGGUGGAGGACAACUUCGAGGAAAGGAUCUGGUUGAGCGUUAACCGUGAGUUCAAUGAGAUCAAUGUCCUACAAAGUCUUAUAGCUUCUUUUGGUGCAAAACAUGAGGGCUGUGCGGGAAACAAGGACCUACUUCAGCGUGCCAUGAAGGAUACGAUCCGGCAAAAGAAGAAGUUUUUGUUGGUGAUGGAUGAUGUGUGGAGCGAAGAUGUGUGGUAUAAGCUGCUUAGAGAGCCGCUCAAUCAUGGUGCUUCUGGCAGUCGAGUCUUGGUGACCACAAGAAAUGAUGGAGUUGCUCGUGGGAUGAAAGCUCAACAUCUCCAUCGAGUUGACAAGCUAACAACGGAAGAUGCUUGGAUUUUGCUAAAGAACCAGGUCAGUAAUAACUUUUAUUUAUUACAGUAAUUAUUUAUGCGGUAAUUUGAAUUUACAGUAACAACUUUUAUCUCUUCUUAAUUACUUUCUCUCCCUUGGAGGAAUGCACGAUAGCCCAUUGCUCGUUAUUUCUCUUGUCGCUCUUGUCCGAUCUGAUUACGCAAAGGACCAUGUAAUUUGACUACAAGCCUUUUAUCAUACUUUCAUAAGCUCUUGGCUUAGCAAAACAUGUCUCAUGGUUAUAUUUAAUUGAACAUAUCUUAUUGACGUUGAGGGAAGUUUUGUUUAGUGCAAGGAAUCGGGUAUCGUAGCCUAAGAAGGGGAGGAGGUGAAUUAGUCAACUUAAAAUCUUAACCUAUGGCUUCCACUACUUUUCCAUCAAACUUAAACUAGAUCAUGCUAUCAAGAUGUGCAACUAUGGUUGAUCUAGUGUGAAAUCCUCAUCCUAAAAUAAGUUUUGCAACCUAGAGGCAAUCCUAGCAAGAUACUACACUAAGAAAGUAAAGGUACACAAGUUGCAAGUAUGAAAUGCGGAAAUGUAAAGGAGGGGAUGAGGGGAAGCAAACUCUUGACACGAUGAUUUAUCCUGCUAUAUCGGUAGGCACUAAACCACCACUAGUCCACGUUGUUGAAGCACUCACACAAGAGUAUUGCUUUCCGAUCACCAAGUCUCUCCUGGGACACUCCUUGAUUUGCCACUAAGGCUCACGCCAAAUUCCCAGGUCACCUUGAUACCAUCUCCACUAAGGAGCUUCUCCAUGAAGGAAGGGGGUCUCCACAUUCCCCGCACAUGGUCAUCGACGCCACUCCACACCAAGCCGGAGGGUUGAAGACUUGCCGGCGAGCCACCAAGGCUCCAAGGUUCCAGCACACCUUGUACAGCUGUGGUUCACUCCUAGAACCAAUCACAUGGCAGGCACACCUUGCACUCUCUUUUCUCUAGGCCUAUCCUAGCACUAAACAUUCUUCUAAGCUUGCACUAAGCCUUUGAUUAAUCACUUAUAUACUUUUAAUGGCUUGGAUGUGUUCUUGAUGAGUCUUGGUCUCCAAUGGACUUUUACACACUCCAGCUUCAUCCAACAACUCCAAAUGGGUGAGUGGAGGGGGUAUAAAUAGCCCAAGAACUCAAAGAGCUGUUGCUCCAAUGGCUAGUUAAAAUAUACCAUCGGAUGUUCCGAUGGUAUCAUUUGGGGUAGCAUCGGAACAUCCGGUUCUAUCCGAUGCUACCAGCCGUUGCCUCCCCGCGCCCAGAUUCUGCUCAAGUUCCUCCGGUGCUCCCUCUACCACCCAUCGGAACAUCCGGUGCAGUAGCUUCCUGUGCCAAAACGUCUCUGUUAGAUUCUAAAUAAAUAUGCUUCGUCCGAUGCCCCCGCGACACAUAGCGUCGGAUCAUCCAGUGCCUCCUUCUUUCUUCUCUUUGCUCCGGCGAUUCAUACGAUGGGUACGAAACUUAGACCAUCGGAUCAUCCGAUGGUCCUGCUUGGACUUGGUCUCCACACAACGUACCAAAAGCUUCGAUGCUUGCACCGACGCUUUUCCAGCUGGCCAUCGGAACAUCCAAUGGUCUCAAAAACCUUCUUCACACUUGUCACCGACUGAUUCGGUGGGCACCUUCUUCUUGUCACCAGAUGAAUCGGUGGCUAUAAUGAUUCCUGUUUUUCUUUGAUUUCUUUGAUUCUUUGCUUAUCUUUGGUCGUGGUUGCUUCCUUACGACCUAUAAUACCUUCAAGAUAUGUUCUCAAUGCUUUGUUAGUCAUAAUGAUCGUGUUGUCACAUUAAUCACCAAAAUCACAAACAAAUGGCCUAUUCGGGGCCAUGUUUGCUACAUUUAGGCUACUCCCAAUGUGGUUUUUAUAAGAGUUUCAUUUAAUGAUGUGACACAUCAACAAUUUUGAUGAUAUGGCAUCCUAAUAAUCAUGAAGAGAGAGAGGGAAGGAGUAUCAUCCUGAUUAAACUUUGUAUACAUUGUUUCCAAGACUAUGAAACCUGAUGAAACUAGCAUUAGGGAUUAGAGAGUUUCAUUUCAUCUCAUAACAUCCAAUCACAUACCUCACAAUUAAACGUUAUGUCCAACCUAUGAAAUCGCGAAAUGAAACUCUCCAUUGGGAGAUCUUGUUUCAUACAUCCACUCAAACAUCUUUCGAUGACAUACCACUCUUGAAAAUUGUAAUAUGAAAUUCCCCACUGGGAGUAGCCAUGGUUGCUCCAGAGUCUAGACUCUAUUGAAGUCACUUCAACUUUUUCCCUACACACAACCCCUGCACAAGUUAUGAUACAACAUAAAAUCCAUUGGGAGCUUUUCGAUUCUAGCACCAUUUCCUCUCUCAAACUUGCUGCAUUUUUUUUCCAAUACUAGGUAGUUUUGAAUGAGAGUGAUGAAGCUGAUGUCGAUGAAUUGAAGAGUAUCGGGAUGGAAAUUGUUGAAAGAUGUGACUGCUUGCCAUUAGCAGUUAAGGUCCUUGGAGGACUCUUGCGCCGCAAAAGUAGAACAAGAGAUGACUGGACGGAUGUUAGUAGCCAUGGCACUUGGUCGACAACUGGAAUCCAUGAAGAUAUUAAUAAAGCGGUCUAUUUGAGUUAUGAAGACUUGCCUUCACACCUGAAGCAAUGUUUUGUGUAUUGUUCGCUAAUCCCUAAAGGUUACUUGAUUUUGAGUGCAGAAAUAGUCAAGGUUUGGAUUGCAGCAGGUCAUGUACACAACAAGAUGAGCUGUAAGGCACCAGAAGAGUUGGGGGAAGAAUACUACAAAGAAUUGGUUUCAAGAAAUCUUCUAGAACCAGACAAACGUUACUAUAGUACAAUAGCAUGCAGCAUGCACGAUGUUGUCCGUUCCUUCGCUCAGUAUAUAAUUAAAGAUGAAGGGAUACUUAUUAGUGAUGGGCAGGAUGUCAAUAGAACUCUUAGCACUGCAAAGCUUCGGCACCUAUCUAUCUCAAACAAGGCAGUAGGGCAUGACACUUUGCAAACACAAGCCUUGCUUAGAACAUUAAUGUUAUUCGGAAGCAGCACCACUGUUGAGUUGAAGGAUAUGUUGAACAACCUUUCUUGCCUAAGAGUACUACGUCUGAUAGAAGUAGAUCUAGUUGAGCUGCCAGACUCCAUAUGCCACCUCAAACAUUUAAGAUCCUUGUGUCUUUCUGGCACAAGCAUAUCCACAAUUCCUCAAGGCAUAGGAGAUCUAAAAUUUCUACAAUCUAUUGACCUUGAUGGGUGUGCAAAUAUUCAUCAACUUCCUAACAGCAUCCUAAAGCUGCGGAAGCUAAGGUCACUCAACUUGAGCGACACGGCAAUCACUUCAAUUCCUCGUGGCUUGGGAAAACUAGAAGAUUUGUUCCACAUAAGCGGGUUUCCAACACAUUAUUCAGAUGAGAGCACAGGUGGCUGGUGCAGCUUAGAAGAACUCAGACCUCUGUCGAAGCUCCAACGCCUUAAAAUAAGUUGUCUGGAGAAGGCACCUUCCGGUUCUAUGGCUGCUAAAGCAAACCUUAGCAGUAAACAUCACCUGAAAUGGUUAUAUUUGGAAUUUACCAGCAGGCUAGGAGACAACGGGGAGGUCGAAGGCAACAUUAGCGAGGAGGAACACAGGAGAACAGAGGAGGUGCUGGAUAAUUUGUGUCCUCCAACUUGCAUGGAAGAACUUGAUAUCACAGGCUACUUUGCACGUGGGCUACCGCAGUGGAUGAGAACCAUGUCAGCCUUUGGGAGCUUAAGGCGGUUGCAGCUAGAUGACUACGCAUGCUGCACGCAUCUACCUAAUGGAUUGGGGCAGCUCCCCUUUCUUGAUUAUUUUUGGGUCGAUCGUGCUCCGUCUGUCCAGUGCGUUGGGCACGAUUUCCUCUUCCCCUCCUUGGGUGGUCAAGCCGAUGGCAAAGUAACACGGAACAAUAAGAGGCAGCCUCAUCAUACUUCGCGUGGUGCUGGUGUUGCUUUUCCCAAGCUGAUAACAUUGGGUUUUGUAGGCAUGCUGGGAUGGAUAGAGUGGGAGUGGGAGCAGCACGUCCUAGCGAUGCCUGCACUAGAGGAGCUUACAAUCAGAAACUGCAAACUGCAACGCCUUCCUGCAGGGCUUGCACAACAUGCAUGCCGGUUGAGACAGUUGAGCCUGACAGAUGUCCAGCACUUGGUCUCUGUGGAUAACUUCCCUUCACUAGUCAAGCUUCGGUCAUAUGACAACCCAAGGCUGGAGAGGAUCAGCAACAACCCAAGCUUGCAAUUGAUUGACAUUAGCUAUUGCCGAGCACUAAAGGAAUUGGAUCGUUUGCCAUCCCUUCGAAGCCUCCUGUGGUGGGAUUUGCGUGCUGAAGCACUCCCAAAAUACUUGCGAGAGGCAACGCUAAAGAAAUUGCGUGUAGAUUGUAGCCGAAGUUUGCUCAAACUGAUAGCACUACAAGAUGAAUCCUCCGAAUGGGGAAAGAUCCAGCAUGUCCAGCAACUAAAGGCGUAUGGACGCAAGAUAGAAGGAGAAGCGGAGGAAGCCGACCAAUCGCACGAAGAUGAGGAUGCCGAGUGGUACAUCUACUGUACCAAGGAGCCGUAUUCAUUCGACGCAUACCUGGGCAAGUCCACGGGUGAGUUCAUCUUCGACCUACUCGGUGGUUUUAUAACUGUAUGUGUGUGUACACUCAUGUAAAAAUGGAUUUCUAACUGUAUAUUCACCUGCGCACAGGAUGAAGAUGAAGCAGAAGUAGACGAGGUGAACGAAGAACAAAGUCCAGGAAUAGAACAUAGUAAGAAUGCAAGGAACAGAGGAAGCUCUCAGGCUGUUACGACAGGACGAGCAUUCGAAUCAAUCCACCAAAUACUAGGUAUGAAUUGCCCAAAUACUGAUGGUCUUGUAGUUGUACACGCCAAAUUGGCUGUGACUAUUCUAACUGGAAAGCAUUGUCGUGUUAACGCAGGAGAAAGAAACCCAAGAAGGAGAAGAACACAUCGCAAUUGGGUGGUGGCAAUGUGGCAUACUGUCCCUCAAAUUCGUAAGUUGUAUAUGUUUUUGUGCGAAAAAUAUAAUACAGCAGUAAGGCGCGAGCGUCUCUCUAACCAGUUGUUGUGACGCUCAGGAAGGGAGCGCCAGCACGGGCGGCCUUGGACUCGUUGGAGCGAAUACGCGUCGGGGACGAGCGAUGUGCUGAGAGCUGAAGCACUGAACGUGCGCACGCAGGGCAGCAGGGAAGGGAUUUGCACAUUUAGCUCCUAGGAUUUGCACUUUCUUGUUGCCGUAUUUGUAGGCAGGUCUGCACUCCAUCCCUUCUUUUUGGUUGGUCCGUGCUAGCUCGUCAGACUUUCUACAGUGUUUUUGAAUGUUCGAUAACAAAUGAGUGUAGGAAUUUGCAGACGUGCUCUAUGAUGCCGAGAUAACAAUUGCAUCCCCCCCUCAUGGAUCCUCUGGAAAGCUGAAGCUACUCUGCAAGACUGCAACGAUUCAUUUGCACUGCCAAACAAACGAGCAUGACAAAUCGUAGGUCUCCCCUGCUAGCAUGGCAUAGGAGCUGAUGGACCACCUCUGAAGCUACUAUAUACUAUAUUCAUGUCCAUUAUGGUGUGGACAUGGACUGAUGGACCACCUCUGAAGAUAUAUUUCACGUGGAGUUUAUUAAUGAAAGUGUCUUUUUUUUUACUACGUCGAUAUCCUAGAACGUAUUUAAAUUUAUAAUAAAUGUAAUCUGAUAUAUAUGUUUCAGACUUGUUUGGUCCAUCAGUCCAUGUCCACACCAUAAUUAAGCUAGGCGUGUCACACUUGUUUAGGUGUGAGUUUAGUUUACGCCACAACUAGAACGUGCUAAAACUUUCUAAACCCUAUGCACCGUGUUUCAUAGAACCAAAGUAGGAGUACUCCGUAUAUGACUAGUUACGAAACAGGACCUUCCUACUUUGGUUGCUAUAAUUUAUAAUUAGAAGACUAUCCCUUAAUUCUAAUAACUUGCCAUCCGAAUCAUCUCGAUCAGCGUGAUGAUUAUGAUCACGAGUUUACUCCCUCCAUCCAUAUGUGUUUGAUCGGCGUAUUUGUCACACGAAAAGAUCCAAGAUUUUUCUUGCGGUCGCACGCUGACUGAGAUCAUGCGUUUGGGUGAAAAUCGUUCAAAGACUGAGGACGAUGGGCAAUGAAGCGUUGAAUGAUUUGCGUGGGAGUGUUUCUUCUUCCUUAGUCUCCGUGAAGCUAACAAAUACGCUGCUCGAAUAGGAUGGAGGGAGCAUCUGCUUGCAUUUUCGGCGGAUCAUCAUCGGCGGCUUGUUUCGGCCCUUGGGUCCUGUGCUGAUUCGGUGGACCCCACAUGCAUAGAAUCCAAGCAAAAUCUCCUCCAGAUUUCUAGCUUAUGCAAAUAUCUUCCCCGUUAUUAGCCAUUUUCAGUCAGUUAUUAUAUAUAUACGUAUAGAAAAAGAUCUACGUGGAUUAACUUGUACGGCAACAGGCUGAGAAGGAAUAUCUGUAUUGCAUGAUCAGUCAAUCAUUGGCCUAGCUAAACCGCUGAUCGAAAUGUUAUUUACUUUAUUUAUGCCGAUGAAAUUUUUUUAAUGUUAGGGUCUUUUACUAAGGAAAAAAAAUCUGGUUGAGGAAUAGAUUUUUUUUAAUGCUAGGGUCUUUCUCUUCAUCAGGUCGCUACUUCCCGGACAGGGCUAUCGAUUUGGUCGACGAGGCGUGCGCGGCCGUGAGGCUGCAAAAGAACGGCGAAAGAGGCAACAAGGAAGCAACAGCAGGAUGCCCAUGGACAACGACAACGUCGUCGCACCGGACCUCAUAGCGCAGGUGCUGGCAAUGUUGGGCGAUUCAGCAUUCUCAAUUGCUUCGAUCAUCACACAUGUAUAAAUAGAACGUGAUGUUCCGAAUGUAUGCUGUGCAUAUCGUGAGCAAAUGGACGGGUAUCCGGUGACGGCCCUGGGGCGGGAUGAUCGGAAGAGGCUGCUCGACCUAACGCGGUGCUGCGCUCGCGGUCGGGCCUCGCCAACCCCGACCAGCCGUCCGGCUCCUUCCUCUUCCUCGGCCCACGAGCGUCGGCAAGACCGAUCUCGCCAAGGCCCUCGCCGAGGAGCUCUUCAGCAACGAGAAGGCGCUCGUCCGCAUCGACAUGUCCGAGCACGUCGGCGCAAGCUCCGUCACGAGCCUCAUCGGCUCGCCUCCAGGGAAUAUAUGUUUACAAAUAUCUCAUGACAUGCUCCAGUACUUGCACGUAAGAGCAACUCUAAAAAGUUCCCUUAUAUUACCCCCAAAAUCUGAUUUAGGAGAAAAAUGAAAAAAACAAGGUCCAACACUCCCAUAUUUUCUCCGCAAAGAUACAACAACGCGAAAAACUCCCCGAUCACCUUGUGUGUAUCCGCCUCGCCAUUCCUCCCCCAAUCAGCCACAGGUCUUCCUUUCCCGCCCGCAGAGCCAGUCCCGCCAAAUUUUUUCCCCACGAACGUGAGGCAAGCGUCGGAGGCGCGAGCGGCGUUGCGGCGGCGGCGUGAGCAGGCUUUCGCGGCGGCGCGAACGGGCCUGCAAUGCAUCGACCACGUUCAUAUGCUCGGUCCGGCAGGGGCAAGAACAGUGCGGCGGCAACAAGGUGCGGCAGGUCCCGUUUGUCGGCGGCCACCUACACCAUUGGCCCGUCGAGGACCGAAAUUUGCACGGGUCCAUUGGUGGCCGAACUUGGCCAGACCGGCGGCGGCAACUUGGGAAGUGAUCUGCAAGGUCGAGGACCAACUUGGGAAGUGAUCUACAUGGUCGAGGACCGGCGGUGGCAUCAGUAUUUGGUCUUACCUUUUUCUGAAUCCAGGGAUACUUUGCAUAGUUUCUGAAUCAAUUCCUGAUGAAAAAUUUGCCCAACAUGAUGAUUUGUCAGUUGUUGGAGUCGUUUGCCUUUUGGGAAUCAAACAUACAUCAGCUUCCAAUCGUGGGUCUCCAGCCAUGCUCGAGAUUAUUAGGGUAAGUACGUUGGUAUCGUCUAAUAGGUGGUCUCAGGUAUUGACACGUAAUCUUAAGAUGACUUAACAGACACAACCCGUACAAUGGAUUGUCUUAUAAGUUAUCUGGUAGAACUAUAUAAUUUCUUAAUUUGUGCAUAUGAAAAAAGGAAAUAUUAUGAGUUGCAUGGCAACAAUAACUCGUACAAUGGUCCUCUUUCUCUCUCCUUACUCUCUCUCUCUUUCACAUCAUCAAAAAUCCUACGUGGCACUGUAUGAGACGACCUAUGAGACCGUUGACGUGUAACAAUAUACUUGCUGAUUGGACAAUUAUCUUUCUAUUGAUACAUAUUAACCCCUUAAUGGUUUGCAUCGUUUCUAAAUCCAUGCAUUCCUGUAGAAAAAUGAGCGCAACAUGGUGUGCAACUGAUUUGUCAAUUGUUGUGCUGUGAUUUUCCUGAUGGGAUUAUUGGAAUUGUUGAACCCAACGGCAGGUUUGACGGGCGGAGGCGGCAGCAAACUACUGUGCGGCACAAUGAGGGGCGAUGGGAGGAAGGACUGGCGGCAGCGUUGGAGGGUGGUAGGAGAAAAACGUUAGGAGAGAGGGAGUUCAGGUGAGGAGGAGAGAGGUUGGCCCAACUGAUGGGCCCAUUAAUACUGAUGUGGUCUAUUUCGAAAUAUUGGUAAGCUAGAGUUUCCAAAAAGUUUUUCCCCAAAACUAUGUAUUGAGGGGCUCUUUCAAAAAAAAAUUCCUCUAAAAACAUAUCAAUCCAUAUCAGAUCGCUAAUAACUAUCCAAAUAUUUCAAAAUAGGCCAACCUUCUUUGACUUUUGCUCACAUUCACCGAAUCCGGACCGACUAACCGUAAUAUACAGUUAAAUUUCAAAAAAUGUUUCAAGCCAAAAGAAAAGCCGGAUCUUUUCGUGUUCAUCUCACUCACAGGUUCUUGAUUUCCUCCCAACGUUUACUGCAGGUACUACUACAGACGCACCUACAAGGACAACAUGAACUGCCCGGCAACGAACCAGGUACAACAGAAGGACCACAGCGACCCGCCAUUGUACGCAGUCACCUACUACAACGAGCACUCGUGCAACAGCACCUUCCUCACGCUCUCCCCCUCUGAGUUCCAGCUCCAGACCUCCUCGGGAAAGGUCGUCUCCAUCUGCUUCAACUCGUCAUCCGGGCCGGCGGCGCAACAACCGCUGUCCGCGGCGGCGGCAACAGCCACCAAUGCCAGCGGCGGCUCGCCCUCCUCCAGCGCUGCGACGCGACGAGGCACGCCCUCGAGAUCAGCAACCCACCCAUGCUACGGCGCGACGAGGCACGCCCCCAAGAUCAGCAACCCACCCAUGCUACGGCGCUCGGAGACGUACCCAUGGGUCGUGGGUGCCGUGGAGCAGAAGCCGGCGUCCUGCAGCACCAAGUCCCACGUCGCGUUCCCGGCUAGUGCCAGCGCGGUGCCGGAGGAGGUGGUAGAUGCAGGCAGAUUUGGGUCCAUCAGGUACGCAUGCCAGGUGAUUGGGAAAUGAUCGGACCUCCGCAUAUUUGCGGGGCGACGGAGGUGUUUUUAGCGUCCGCGCAUUUUCAUAGAAUGGAUUAAGGAGUUGUUGGAGGUAAGUUUUGUUUGUUUUUCCCUAAAUAAGAUUUUGGGGUAAGUGAGCUUUUGGAGUUGCUCUGAGAUGGUAUGAUUUUGGGGGGAAAAUAUUUUAUAAAAAACCCUAAUAUUUGUUUUUGGGGAGAAAUUUUAGAGAUUACUCUAAUCCCUUAUAAUUAAUGAUUCCGUAACUGCGUGCAGGGCGCCUGGGUACGAGAAUGGAGGGCAGCUCACGGAGCAGGAGAUGCGGCGGCCGUACAGCGUGGUGCUGUUCGACGAGAUGGAGAGAAGGGGGACGACGCCUUGUUCAACCUGUUCCUGCAGAUCCUCGACGACGGCAGGCUCACCGACGCCAAGGGCCGCGCCGUCGACUUCACCAACACCAUCAUCAUCAUGACCUCCAACCUCGGGGCGCACCACCUCGACGGCUACCCGGACAACGACGCCGCUCGCGAGCGCAUCCUCGCCGACGUGAGGAGGCACUUCCGGCCGGAGCUCGUGAACCGGCUUGACGAGAUGGUGGUGUUCCAGCCCCUGUCGUCGUCGUCCGCCGGCGACCAGCUGCUGCGGAAGGUGGCUAGGCUGCAGCUCAAGGGCGUCGCCUUGCGCCUCGCCGGCAAGGGCAUCGACCUCGACGUCACCGACGCCGCCCUCGACGUAAUGCUGUCGGAGACACGCGGCGAGGUGAAGAUGUACGGCGCUAGGCCGAUCAGACGGUUCGUGCAGAAGGUCGUCGUGACAAGGAUUUCCAAUAUGGUGGUGCGGGAGGAGGUGCACGAGGACUGCUGCAUCUCCAUCGACGCAGACGAGGAGGUGAAGGAACUGGUGUUCACCGUCACCAAGAAGCCGGCGGACCAAAAGAAGUAGCUGAUGUGCGUAGUCGUCGAGAACCCUGUCGACGAGGUGAAGAAUCCGGUGAUCACGGCCGAGAAGACUGCAGACGAGAAAAGGGAGGAGCCGGUGUUCACUACCGAGAAGCCUGGAGAUGAGAAAAAGCAGGAUCCGGUGUUCACCGUCGAGAAGCCUGCAGACGAGAACAUGGGGCCAGUGUUGAUCGUCGAGAAGCCUGCAGAUGAGAACAGGGAGGAACCGGUAGUCAUCAUCGAUCAGAAGCCUGAAAGUGAGAACAGGAAGGUCACCUUUGAAAAGUCUGUAGACAAUGGCAAGAAGCAUCCGGUAGUCACCAUCGAGAAUUCUGCAAACGAGGACAUGGAGCCGGUGUUCUCCGUCGAGAAGCCGGCGGACGAGGAGGAGGAGCCGGUGUUCACUGCCGAGAAGCCUGCAGAAGAGGAGGAGCCGGUGUUCACCACCGAGAACCUCGCAGACCAGGAGAAGAUGGAAGCUGGGGUUUACCGUCCUGAAGCCGAACUCGGACGAAAACAAAAGCAUCGUAUGCCUUCUCUGAUGUAAACAACACAGAAUGACAGGCACAAAGAUUGACAAGAAUGGUAGAUGGUGCUUAGUUUCCCUUCUUUCUUCUUGUUUUUUUUUUUUUGAGGGCGUAGAUCGUAGUUUCCAAAGGAUACCGCUAUUAUAUACAAAUGUGUCUUUCAGCACGCACAUACAUACGUUCACAUUUUACCAAAACUUUGUCUAUUCAAAUUUCAAAAUACCCAUUAGCUUGUACUUCCUCCGUCCCAAAUUGUAAUUGUAAGUCAUUCCAAGAAUCUUGGAGAGUCAAAGCAUCUCAAGUUUGACUAAAAUUAUAGAGAAAAAUAUAAAGAUUUAUGACAUCAAAUAGAUAUACUAUGAAAAUAUAAUUGAUAAAGAAUCUAAUGAUACUUAGUUAACAUCAUAAAUGUUAUUAUAUUAUCAUAUAAAUUUGGUCAAACUUGAGAUAUUUUGUCUCUCCAAGAUUUUUGAAAUGACUUACAAUUUGGAAAACGGAGGGAGUAUCUAACAUCUCAAGGACCCAACAUUUUGGUUUAAGGCUCUGCACUGCUAUUAUAUAGCAUUGAUAUUACCAGGAUGAUCAGUGCUAGGAUCCUCCUGAAUUAUCAGACAACGAUGACUGAAAAAUGCAUGAAUGAUCGUUGGAGGCCGAGAGCUAGAAGAUCAAUUCUCCAGCACAGCGAGCCCAUCUGAAAUUCGGCCCGAUCUAUAAUGCAUCCUUUCACACCACAACAAACGGACUGCCUAUUACCCAGUUUCAGCCCACAAAUUGUAUGUCCCACAAACAAGGCCGUCUAGAAUACACGGAUACUUCCAGCAGCAGCCUUGGACAGUAUUGUAAUGAACCCGUCGAUUCAGAGCUUUUUAAGUUAAUCGUGAUUGUGAUGCGCGAGGCAGGAUAGAAUAAGGCUCUGCUGUAUGAAAGCAAGACUGUAGACAGGUCAUCCCCUCGGGCCUGAAUUUUCAUUAGUCCCCAGUUGAUCCGAUCCGAUGGCCAUCCCGUGCACGUUAUACAAUGGGCUCUCGGGCUCUAUUCUAUUGCGCUGCUGAUACAUGAGAUCUUCUGCUAUGGCCUUGUCCGUAGGCUACACAACGGCAUCACUCGAUCGAUUGAUUUGCUAACAAUUUAUAUGCGAGCUGGCUUGCUUGCAUCCUCCCUUUGAUUUGCUUUCGGGGAAAAAGCAUCAGUUACUAGCAGAACAAUAUAGAAUAAAAAACAUCAGCAUCCUGAACCAGCGAUAUGCCUGUAGUUCGCUUUUAUUUCCCAGGAGGGGCAAGGCCUGAUGGCCACUUGUUUUUAGAUGAUGCAUCUGCAGAUUUGCUCUGCUAAAGAGAUCGAUCUGGGGCUGGGUCAAAUAAUCAUGGAGUUUUGCUGAAAUUUGUGAGUUUUGCUGCUGAGAUUGCUUUUGGGAGAUUGAUAUGGCUUUUGAUUCACUUUGGGGAGAGUGAAUUUCUGUCUUGAUUGUGUCGAGCCUAGCUUUUUCGCUAGCCCAUGUCUUUGGGGAUUAAGAUCGUUUCUUUUUCUUUCUUUUUAUUUUUUCUUUUUCAGUACGAAUAAAUUUGUGCGGUGUGGUGUUGUCAAUGCACUCAUCAAGGGGGAGAUUGAGAUGCCGGUGGGCUAGCACCUUGGUGAUGAGCGAUUGACAACACGGUGUGCGUGUGACGUGUCUCUUGGCAGGUUGUGGUUGCAGGUGACAGGUGGAGACAAGGUACAUGCGGCGACGAGUGAAGAACGAAGAUAGGAUGCCGCGUCGAAAAACCGCGGGGGCGGAGAAGGGCGGAUCGAGGCUUGCGUUCGAGGGACAGGCGAUCGUGCGGUGUACGUCUACUGUACCUGGCUACACGGCGGGAGGACGUCGAUGGAGGUUUCCGGAUUAUGCCACAAAAUCCGGGGUUCGCUGGUUGAGCCACAAAGCCAUGCAUCGUACCGGGACGCUCGUGCGGCGUGCGAAGAUGGAAAUUCUGGCGAUCGCGAUACGAUUUCGGAUGGUUGUGCGGCGACAUCGCGAGGAUCACAUCGCGGAGAUGGAGGGAUCGCGGACAUCGCGGAAUUUGCCAUGGAGGACGUAAUUGGAAUUUACGCCCCUACGUUGGAUUUAUUUAGCGUAGGGGGUUAUGUGAAAAUAGGUCGUGCCACCCUUUGGAGAUAUAAAUAUGUGGCACCUAGGGUUGAGGGAAAAGUGGACGUUUUGGACUCCCGGCGAGUUACUAUUCACGCGUGAACAGUACCCGUGAACAGUACUCGUGCCCUGGGGUUCCACGGUUCAAUUUUCCUCUCUCCGGUCUAGCCUAGGGUUUGAAUUCUAGUGAGAGGUUUUUGUUGAUCUCUCCGAUUAAGAGAGGGAGGAUGUUCGGGCGGAGGCUAGAUGCACUUUUGUAAGUUCAAUUACUCGAUUUAAUCUUUCAUCUAUAAUGAUUGAUCUUGUGCAUCUCGAUUGGUUCUUUACAAUUCUCGUCAGCAUCUGACAUAGUCUGCUUGUUUUAUUUUUAUCUCAAGAUCCGUAAGUCCGAUUGACGUGAUUCCAGUUGGGUUAGUUUCGUAAUUUCAUCUAGUUUAAUCUGACAAAUUUUUAGGUCGAUCGGAGUUACGGAUUUUCGUCCACAUCAGGUUUACUAGGUACAUAGAGUUCUGUCCAGAUUUGAAAAACGUGAUUUAUUCAGGUUUUGUGUUUAGGGGAAGGGUUAGAAAUAUUUGUUAGAAAGUUUUGGCUUCUGCGACCAUUCACCCCCCCUCUGGUCGCCCGUUACGAUCCUUCAAUUGGUACCAGAGCCGGUUUAGGUUUUCUAUAGCUUAAUCGGUGCUGAAAGCUAUGGCGACCAAUGAAAAGUUUGAUGUUCGCGCUCCGUUUUUUGAUGGGACUGAUUAUGAUUACUGGAAGGCACGUAUGACCAACUAUCUCAAAGGCAAGUCGCUGAAGCUAUGGAAAAUCACACAAAAUGCCACAUAUGUGAUUCCAGCUGAGGAACCGACUGACGCCGCUGAGAUCGGGCUUCUUGAAACAAAUCAUCGUGCUGUUGCUAUUUUACAGGCUUCUAUUUGUAAAACUGAAUAUGAUCGGGUUUCUAGUGAAGAUCUCGCUUAUCAGAUCUGGGAGAAACUUAGAAAAUAUCAUGAAGGCUCAAACACUGUGAAAAACCGAAAAUUUGAGAUUCACCGAAAAGAGUUUGAUGCUUUUUGCCAAUUGCCUAGUGAGUCUAUUGAUGACAUGUUUGCACGUUUUCAAGUGAUUGUUAAUAAGAUGAAGGCCAUGAAUAGAAAUAUACCUUAUGAUGAUCAUGCUAGGGCUCUCAGAUUAUUACAUUCACUUAAUGAUGAAUGGGAUAUGAAAGUUGAGGCGAUCGUUGAAUCUGUAGGUUAUGAAACUCUCACCACUGAUGAGCUUUACAGUAAGCUCAAAUCAAAAGAGAUUGAAAUUGUUUCUAAGCGUAAAUUGAAAAAUCCCACAGCUGCUUCUUCUUCUGACGUUCCAAUGGCUUUGGUUUCUGGAAAUAAGACUAACACUAAUGCUAAUCCAAAUGUUUCCAGUUUUGCUUUGUCUUCUUUGUGUCAUGUUGCAGAUGAGGAGUUGGAGGUGCUAGAUGAUGAUCAGCUUGUACUGCUCUCCAACAAGUUUAAGCGUGUGUAUGACAACAGGCGUAAUAGAAGACGUUCAGAUGGUUGCUUCAACUGUGGUGAGCGAGGACACUUUGCUGCUGAUUGCCCAAACAAGCAGAGAUCUUUUGAGCAGGGCAAUAACUCCUCCAGGCGCCAGGAGAAGUUCAGGGAGAGGAAGAAGAAGAAGGAUAAGCAAUGGAAGAAAGGCGGACAAAAAUACUCUGACAAGCAAGUCGCUAAGGCUGCAAAUGUUUUGUUAUCUUCUCUUGGACAGUAUGUUUCAGGUGGCUCGUCAGACUCCAGCGAUUCAGAUUCCGAGGAUGAGACACCCAAGAAGAAGACAGACGGACUUUGCUUCAUCACUGACGCCGGCAUCAAUGAUGGGAUAUGUACUAUGGCCUUGGAGGGUGAUGCAUCAACCGACAGCAACGAUGAAACUUCUGAUGAUGAGGUAGAUACUUCUGCAGAACAAAGAAUAGCUAAUUUAACUAAAAUUGUUCAUAAGCAAAAUAAAGUGUUGGCUAAACUUAAAACUGAUUAUGAUAAAACUUGUGCUGAACUAGCUACUCUCAAAAAUGCUGCAUCUAAUCCUGCUGAACCUGAUGAAUGUGAAGAAUGCUCAAUUCAUAUGAUUUCGUUGUCUAAAUUGCAAACCAAGUAUUCUUCCAUUGUUGAUGAUCGAGAUAAACUUUACGCUGAACUAAAUGAACUUCGUUCUCGGUCGAAUUUGCUUGGUACUUGUGUUUCUUGCCCGCUUUUGAAAGUUGACUUGGAUAAUGCUUUAUGUCGGGUAAAAAAUUUUGAAGAACACACUUGUCCUGAUUUGCCGGAUUGUUUGAUUUGUCCAACUUUACGAUCUGAAUUAAAUGUUGCUAAAUCACAUAUUGUUGAGUUGGAAAAACACACUUGUCCGGUUCUUCCUUCAUGCCUAACUUGUCCUAAUUUUGUUGUUGAAAAUAAUGAUUUAAGGGCCAAACUUGCUGAUUUGGAAGAAGAAAAUAAGCAUUUGAGAACUAUUCUUGGUUGGUGUUCUAUUCGUGAGCCUCAAAUUGGUAUGGCUAUUGCUCAAAUUAAACGGGGUGAGCGUUUUGGUCCCGGUUAUGACUUGAAACAUGUUUUUGGUGAAAAAAGUGGACCGCCUGUUGAUGAGAAGAAUCCACCUUUGGCUAAAUAUACUGGACCACCUCCUAGGAAGGGUUCAGGUGUCACCUCUGAUGGGUUGCUGGUUGAGACAUCUAGAUCUGCUCCUAAAAAGCAGGUUUGGGCGCCUAAGCCAAAACACUUCAAGGGUAUACAAAAUACUAAGCCAAAUGGUUCUUCUUGUGAUCAUUUUGCUAAGCCUGUUUUUGUUGCUUCUAGUUCUAAUGCUGAGGCUUCUGUCGCUCCUGCACGCAAGCUUUAUCAUUGUGAUUUUUGCAGUCAUGAUGGUCAUCUUUAUGAGUUCUGUUAUCGGAGGAUGCGUGCUGAACGACGUGAGCACCCCACACGUGGUACUCAUGAUCUUCGUGUUUUUAGAUGUGAGCAGUACCCUGUACGUGGUACUCAUGAUUGUCCUAUUUUGAGACGUGAGCCAUUUGUUCGCUCUUCUGGUUUUCGCUCACGUACUCGUGCUCUUGCACAACAUCGGGAUGACAGACCACGUUUUCCCCCUCGUGGUUCUCAUCGUUUUCAUUACAUUAUCCUAACCCCAGUGUUGAGUCAUUAGCUCACCCUCGCUCUCGUUGUUGAUUGCAGGUUGGAGGCGAGGAGGACAUAUGGAUAAUGGACUCCGGUUGUUCGCGCCACAUGACCGGAGAUGAUAAAUGGUUCUCCAGCCUCACCCCCACGAGCGUAAAGGAAAACAUCACUUUUGGGGAUAAAAGUCAAGGUAAGGUAAUGGCGCAUGGCUGCAUCAAGGUAACAGAUAAAUACACGUUAAAGGAUGUCGCAUUGGUAAAGAAUUUGCAUUAUAAUUUGCUGUCUGUUUCGCAACUUCUUGAGGAUGAUUUUGAGGUUCGUUUUAAGAAAGGAAAUUCGCGUGUUCUUGAUUCUGCUGGUAACCUUGUUUGCAAGAUUUCUCCUUUUAGACGGAUUUUUAAAGCUGAUUUUUCUAAAUCUUUUGGUGAAACUCGCUGUUUAGUUGCUCAUGGUUCCCCCCUGAUUUGGAAGUGGCAUCGUCGGUUGGGCCACUUGAGCUUUGAUUUGCUUUGUCGUUUGAGUUCAUUGGAUUUAAUUGAUGGUUUACCGAAACUCAAGUUUGAAAAGGAUUUGAUUUGUGCUCCCUGCAAGCAUGGAAAAAUGGUUGCUGCUUCUCAUUCACCUGUGACUCAGGUGAUGACGAGACGACCAGGUGAACUGUUACAUAUGGACACUGUUGGUCCAGCCCGUGUUCGGUCUGCUGGUGGGAAGUGGUAUGUGCUCGUCGUUGUGGACGAUUUUUCUCGAUAUUCAUGGGUGUUCUUUUUGGAAUCUAAGGAUGAGGCUUUCUCACAUGUUCAUGAUCUUGUUCUAAAGCUGAAAAAUGAGUUGUCAAAUAAUGCCGUUAGAGCAAUUCGCAGUGACAACGGUACGGAAUUCAAGAAUUCUCGCAUGAAAGCUUUCUGUUCAGAACAAGGUUUAGAUCAUCAGUUUUCCUCACCUUACGUUCCUCCCCAGAACGGUGUUGUUGAGCGUAAAAAUCGUACGCUUGUUGAGAUGGCUAGGACAAUGCUUGAUGAACAUAAAACUCCUAGACGUUUUUGGGCUGAGGCUAUCAACACCGCUUGCUAUGUUGCUAAUCGCAUUUUUCUGAGAGCUUUUCUAGGAAAAACAUCUUAUGAGUUGAGAUUUGGUCGACCUCCCAAAGUUUUCCACCUUCGAGUUUUUGGCUGCAAGUGUUUUAUAUUGAAAAAGGGAAAUUUGGAUAAAUUUGAAUCGCGUUCUUCCGAUGGGUUAUUUUUGGGGUAUGCCUUGCAAGGGCGAGCGUACCGUGUGCUUAAUCUUGAUACUAACCGCAUCGAUGAGACAUGUGAGGUCAGCUUCGACGAGACAAUGCCUUGUUUUUCUUCUGCUUUUGAGUGUGCAGGUGAUGACGAGAUCGGGCAGGAUAUUUUUGAGGAUGAGAAAGAGGACGAUGGAUGUGACGACGACGAUGACGAUGAUGCCCAGCCUGCGAUGCAGGGGGAGCCUGGCGCCCAGCCUGAGCAGGCGCCCUCCACCACUUUGGAGGAUGGACCAUCGCCGACACGUAUAUCUACAGCAGAGUCUGCAGCUUCACCGACUGUUGAUCAUGUACCGGCUGUAGUUGAGGGGGAGGCGAUUUCAGAACGUACAGCACCACGACACAUUCAGAAUCGUCAUCCUGCCAAGAACAUAAUAGGUAAUUUGGAUGAACGCACGACAAGGAACAGAGGUACGAAAAAUAAAAAUUAUUGUGUCUUUGCGCAUACUGCCUUUGUUGCCUCUUUUGAACCCCGAGAUGUUGGACAUGCUUUAUCUGAUUCUAACUGGGUCAAUGCCAUGCAUGAGGAGUUAGAAAAUUUUGCACGGAAUCAGGUUUGGGUUUUGGUUGAUCCUCCUCCUUCUUGUAAACCAAUUGGAACUAAAUGGAUCUUUAAGAACAAACAAGGGGAAGAUGGUCAUGUUGUUAGAAAUAAAGCUAGGUUGGUUGCUCAGGGCUUUUCUCAAAAAGAGGGUAUUGAUUAUGGUGAAACUUUUGCUCCUGUUGCUCGUUUAGAAGCCAUUCGUAUUUUGCUUGCAUUUGCUGCUUCACGUGGAUAUAAGCUUUAUCAAAUGGACGUGAAAAGUGUUUUUCUGAAUGGUUUUAUAGAAGAAGAAGUUUAUGUUAAACAACCGCCUGGUUUUGAACAUCCCAAUUUUCCUGAUCGUGUUUUUAAGUUGCAAAAGGCUUUAUAUGGUUUGAAGCAAGCACCUCGUGCUUGGUAUGCUAGAUUGAAAACUUUUCUGCUUAAAAACGGGUUCAAAAUGGGUUCAGUUGAUAAAACUCUUUUUCUCCUCAGGCAAGGCAAUGACACUUUAAUAGUUCAGAUUUAUGUGGAUGAUAUCAUUUUCGGUGGUUCCUCUCAUGCUCUUGUGAAAAAGUUUGCAGAUGUGAUGAGUAAAGAAUUUGAGAUGUCUAUGAUGGGCGAGCUGCAUUUCUUUCUUGGCUUACAAAUAAAACAAACUUCGGAAGGUACAUUUGUGCAUCAGGGAAAGUACACGAAGGAUGUCCUGAAGAAGUUUGCGAUGGAUGAUGCGAAGCCAAUUUCUACACCCAUGCCGACUAGCGCUACUUUGGAUGCUGAUGAGGACGGAGAGCCCGUGGAUCAGAAGGAAUAUCGAAGCAUGAUGGGGUCGCUGCUGUACUUGACUGCUACGAGGCCAGAUAUACACUUUGCUGUGUGUAUGUGUGCUCGUUUUCAGGCGUCCCCCAGGACUUCUCACCGUCAGGUGGUGAAGCGCAUAAUGAGGUAUCUUCGAUUUACUCCUGCAUUUGGCCUUUGGUACUCUGCUGCUUCAACUCUCAGUUUGUGUGGUUAUUCGGAUGCUGAUUUUGCUGGGUGUCGUUUGGAUAGAAAGUCUACAUCGGGUACUUGCCAAUUUUUGGGUUCUUCGCUUGUUUCUUGGUCCUCUAGAAAACAAUCUAAUGUUGCUCAAUCUACUACAGAGGCUGAGUAUGUUGCUGCUGCUAGUUGUUGUUCUCAACUUUUAUGGAUGAUAGCUACCCUUCGCGAUUUUGGUUUGUCGUUUUCUCGCGUUCCUCUCUUGUGUGACAGCACUAGCGCUAUAAGUGUUGCAAAGAAUCCUGUGCUUCACUCUAAGACAAAACACAUUGAGGUUCGUCAUCAUUUUCUGAGGGAUCAUGUUGAGAAGGGUGAUAUUAAGCUUAAAUACAUUGAUACUAGUCAGCAACUUGCUGAUAUUCUGACUAAACCACUCGAUCAAACCACGUUUGCACGUUUGCGUGGUGAGUUUGGGGUGUGUUACCCAUUCUAGUAUCAUUGUAAGUUGCUUCAGUUACAUAUGCCUUAUACUUAUUUUGGCUAGUUUGCGAUCGAUGCUUUUGGAGAGGUUUGAAUGCUUUGCUUGACCAAUUUUUAUUUUGAAAACAGCACAGAUAUAUACUUAAAAAAUUAUGUUGGGCUAUGCUUGCUUUUCUGAAUCUAGUGACUUGUUGAAUACUUGACAUAUAUCUUGCUCAUGGUUCGGUAGUCAGCUUCUUUUAAUGGGUUUUCACUGCAAAUGUAACUCACAAUCCAAGUUUUAACUCGGGAGUGCAUAGUAUGGUUGUGAGCAAAAACUCUGAAUUCCCAUAUCUCUGCUAUUUAGCUCAUGAUCUGCUUGCCUUACUGAGAAUUUAAAUAUGGGCGCAACUCUGUUUUUCCCAUGUCCCUGCUGGUUCUCGCUCAUAAAAAAAAUUAAACAAAUUGGCUGGGCACAACUCUUGCUUCCCAUAUCCCUGCUUAUCAUGCUCACAAAAGUCAGACUUAAAUAUGACAAGUGAAUGCAUUUGUGGGCGUUGCAGUGAACUUUGACUGAAGCUGUGUAUCUGUCGUGUGAGCUCGCUAUAUGUUUUGUCUUCAGCUUUGCACUGAGUUUGGAAUGUGCAUGUUUUUGCCUGGCACAUUAGUUUUCAAACAGAUUUCAGUUCUAAAUUUUUAUUGGUCAUGGCAUUGUAUUGUUCCUUCUCUGGAUAGCUAGUGUUGUUGGUUAGCUUUUAUAAGUAUUUGGCAUAUGUCUCAGAAGCUUCAACUUGUGCUUUCUCACAUGCUUUUCUCUAAAUUGGUUCCUUGCAUUUUAUCUUGAUGGAGUGCUUUGUCAACAAGGGGGAGAGUGAGUAGCGCACAAAUUCAUUCUUGCAGGGGGAGUUCGUUCAUUCAGGGGGAGUUUUGCUGAAAUUUGUGAGUUUUGCUGCUGAGAUUGCUUUUGGGAGAUUGAUAUGGCUUUUGAUUCACUUUGGGGAGAGUGAAUUUCUGUCUUGAUUGUGUCGAGCCUAGCUUUUUCGCUAGCCCAUGUCUUUGGGGAUUAAGAUCGUUUCUUUUUCUUUCUUUUUAUUUUUUCUUUUUCAGUACGAAUAAAUUUGUGCGGUGUGGUGUUGUCAAUGCACUCAUCAAGGGGGAGAUUGAGAUGCCGGUGGGCUAGCACCUUGGUGAUGAGCGAUUGACAACACGGUGUGCGUGUGACGUGUCUCUUGGCAGGUUGUGGUUGCAGGUGACAGGUGGAGACAAGGUACAUGCGGCGACGAGUGAAGAACGAAGAUAGGAUGCCGCGUCGAAAAACCGCGGGGGCGGAGAAGGGCGGAUCGAGGCUUGCGUUCGAGGGACAGGCGAUCGUGCGGUGUACGUCUACUGUACCUGGCUACACGGCGGGAGGACGUCGAUGGAGGUUUCCGGAUUAUGCCACAAAAUCCGGGGUUCGCUGGUUGAGCCACAAAGCCAUGCAUCGUACCGGGACGCUCGUGCGGCGUGCGAAGAUGGAAAUUCUGGCGAUCGCGAUACGAUUUCGGAUGGUUGUGCGGCGACAUCGCGAGGAUCACAUCGCGGAGAUGGAGGGAUCGCGGACAUCGCGGAAUUUGCCAUGGAGGACGUAAUUGGAAUUUACGCCCCUACGUUGGAUUUAUUUAGCGUAGGGGGUUAUGUGAAAAUAGGUCGUGCCACCCUUUGGAGAUAUAAAUAUGUGGCACCUAGGGUUGAGGGAAAAGUGGACGUUUUGGACUCCCGGCGAGUUACUAUUCACGCGUGAACAGUACCCGUGAACAGUACUCGUGCCCUGGGGUUCCACGGUUCAAUUUUCCUCUCUCCGGUCUAGCCUAGGGUUUGAAUUCUAGUGAGAGGUUUUUGUUGAUCUCUCCGAUUAAGAGAGGGAGGAUGUUCGGGCGGAGGCUAGAUGCACUUUUGUAAGUUCAAUUACUCGAUUUAAUCUUUCAUCUAUAAUGAUUGAUCUUGUGCAUCUCGAUUGGUUCUUUACAAUUCUCGUCAGCAUCUGACAUAGUCUGCUUGUUUUAUUUUUAUCUCAAGAUCCGUAAGUCCGAUUGACGUGAUUCCAGUUGGGUUAGUUUCGUAAUUUCAUCUAGUUUAAUCUGACAAAUUUUUAGGUCGAUCGGAGUUACGGAUUUUCGUCCACAUCAGGUUUACUAGGUACAUAGAGUUCUGUCCAGAUUUGAAAAACGUGAUUUAUUCAGGUUUUGUGUUUAGGGGAAGGGUUAGAAAUAUUUGUUAGAAAGUUUUGGCUUCUGCGACCAUUCACCCCCCCUCUGGUCGCCCGUUACGAUCCUUCACAAAGGAAAAAGGAAAAGAUGUCACCCACUACAAUGAGUGCCAUCAUGGCGAUCAACUCUCGAAUCGCUAUCAGUACUGCUUUGAUUGUGCUAACUAAACCAAUUGAGGAACAAUAUCAUUAGUGGUACAGUCGGGAAAAGCGGGAUGAGAGCAUCCAUAUCGAUUGUGAGUUGGACACGGGUAAAUAAUUCAUGGACUCGCAGGUGUGCCACUAGUUAGAGGUUUGGUUGCCCCUUUUGUUUCUACAAAUGUGCGGUAAAAUUCCUUUCACUUGGUUUUCGAUCAAGCUUCCAUGUAUACUGCUCCCUCCAUCCUAAAUUAUAGAUCAUUUCAUGUUUUCUAGAUUCGUACCUUUCACUGUGCAUCCAGAUAUAAUAUAUAUCUAGGUGCAUAGCAAAAUCUAUGAAUCUACAAAAACCAAAAUGAUCUAUAAUUUAGGACGGGGAGGAAGUCCGAAAGAUUGAUGGCGUCCUUCGUAAAAAGUCCUGCCAUGUACCAUUUAUGUUCUACGAAUGGGCUAUAUGAAUCUUAUUAUUAUUAUUCCAAGAAUUUUAGCUGCAUGGUCAUUCAGAAGAUGGGCAUGAGUGCUCGUGCCUAACAAUAAAUAAACUUCGCUAAAACUCCAGAAUAUCAACUACAGUUGUAUACUUUAUAUGCAUGGUAUAAACUUACAGUAAUGAAGCAAAAAGUCCAUUUUCUGUUGAACAAACGACAAGAGGAUUGGUAAAAUGGUAAAAGUGUUGUGAAAGUGUUAAUUCUCCAGUAUGGAUGGUAAACUGGUAAAAAGUGGUAACAAGGAUGAAUCUCAGCUCACGGGGGAGUAGAUGACAUCAACAACUAACCUCCCUCGCGCUAGCUGCUGCGGCAACAAUGAAUUGCUUGCAGUCACUUGUCUGUACAGCAGGAUAGUGGCCACCAUUAUUUGUAGUCAUUCUGCCUAAGGAGACGACGCUAGCAGUGAGUGUGAGCAGGGCAGCAGCUUUAUGGCUCGUCUCGCCAUGGCCCCAAUAAUUGGUCCACUUGUAUUGAUUUCACUGCACAGGAUUCACAUGCUGGAGGCUGCGCCUUGUGCCGACACUUUUGUGUGAACUCAUAGGCCGACGACUCCAAGUCUCCGCUGCUUGCCACCCACUAAUGAAUGUCGACUUGGCGCUGGUUCCACGGAGAUGCUAAUACAUGUGAAGGAUAGGACAUAAGACCAAAGGAAAGAACAACUAACAAUAACAAGUGGGCAUGCUUACUCAGAGACUUAAAAGACUUAGCUGCACAUCAAGAACUAGUCGGCUAUACUAAUUGCAUCUGAAAAUGAUCUUAGGGUUCAUGUUUAGAUGUAUUGGCUUAACUGAUACCAAAUGUAGGAAACUACAUUACUUAGCUUAAUCUAAAUAGUAUCUUUCCUUUGGUCUCUUUAAUUUCUUUGCCUCAGGUCACUUUCUAGCUAAUGCUAAUGCACAAGUAGAUUUAUUUACUGGAAAAACGUGCUUAUGCAGAUCAAUAUUUACCUUCACCGGCUUCACCGUUUGCUGUUGGGAUCGUCUUGGAUUCCUCUGCUUCUCUGCCAUUCGGGCACCUAGGUAACAGAGGUCCUGUCUAGUUCCCCAAAAUUCCAACUUUAUCACUAUACAAAAAGAAGAUUCUCCAUCACAUCAAACUUGCGAUACAUGCAUGGAGUACUGAAUGUAGAUGAAAUUAAAAACUAAUUGCACAGUUUUGUUGUACUUUGCGAGACGAAUCUUUUGAGCCUAAUUAGUCAAUAUUUGGACAAUAAUUCAUAAAUACAAACGAAAUGCUACAGUUGCGCUAUAGUAAUUUUGGUUGUCCAAAGUUGGACAACUAAACAACACCGAGGUCUGAAACGCACUAAUCGUCCACUGUACACUGGUAGCGACCGUACACAGACUGAACCCCUGCUUCCUGUUGGAGAACCAUUGAACGCGUCGUCAGAGCUAAAUCAUUGAGCCUUGACACAUUUCUUUGCCCCAACGUCAUUUUCUGACCACUGCUAAUGGGCAGUUGGUUUCCUUUCUUAUUUUGAAAAAAUAAUAAAAAAUCGAGAUUUCCGCUACUAAUCAUUAGACAACGGCUAGUAUACAGUGGCGCAGGAUCAAGGCUUGUGGGCCCACAACCCGUGGGACCCAGCCGCUCGUGACGACAGUGCAGGGGAAAUUAUGAAUAUACAGUGAACGUAGUACUACACCUCACCUACUCCUGUCGUUUUCCAGCCGUGCCACGCGGGCCCCGCAGCGCGCUGCGCUCGUACUCGCUACGUUUUCUGGUCACGCCCCUGAAUUUCACGUAAGUGCCGGCUAAAAUACAUGUUUUAUCGUUCCUUUCUGGUAUCUGAACUGUGGCACCGUGCUGUUCUGGUAUCUGAGGCCUAGUUGGCUAAGGCCAUGUUUAGUUACUCCCAACUUCCAACUUUGACACUAUGCAAAAAGAAGAUUCCCCAUCACAUCAAACUUGCGGUACAUGCAUGGAGUACUAAAUGUAGAUGAAAUUAAAAAGUAAUUGCACAGUUUUGUUGUACUUUGCGAGACGAAUCUUUUGAGCCUAAUUAGUCAAUAUUUGGACAAUAAUUCACAAAUACAAACGAAACGCUACAGUGUGCUACAGUGCUGUAACAGUAAUUUGGCACCUCCCAAAUUGGCCAACUAAACAAGGCCUAAAUUGGAAGGUGCCAAAUUACUGUAGGAAGCCAUUGAUGAUGGUACUGANNNNNNNNNNNNNNNNNNNNNNNNNNNNNNNNNNNNNNNNNNNNNNNNNNNNNNNNNNNNNNNNNNNNNNNNNNNNNNNNNNNNNNNNNNNNNNNNNNNNNNNNNNNNNNNNNNNNNNNNNNNNNNNNNNNNNNNNNNNNNNNNNNNNNNNNNNNNNNNNNNNNNNNNNNNNNNNNNNNNNNNNNNNNNNNNNNNNNNNNNNNNNNNNNNNNNNNNNNNNNNNNNNNNNNNNNNNNNNNNNNNNNNNNNNNNNNNNNNNNNNNNNNNNNNNNNNNNNNNNNNNNNNGUCUCAUAGCUUAUUUUUCCAUGGUGACCUUUUUCCCGGAUUCAGGAAUAAGUUCCAGCUUCUGUAGUCAAGUUUGAGAGAGUACUCCUGCAGAUAACAAAGACGCAGUACACAGAUGGCCCACACCACUGACAUGGCACAAGUUCUAAGCAAGAGAAACAAAAGGAUCACAAUGGCUAGUUUAGUGAUUCUCUCCUAAAAUUGCAGCCCGGCUGGCCGAAGAUCUACAUGGUGACGUCCUCCAACCUUAGGGAAUCCUUUCGUUGGUAUUUACGAAUUAUUAUUCAAAUAUUAGCUAAUUAGGCUCAAAAGAUUCGUCUGGCAAAGUACAACAAAACUGUGCAAUUAGUUUUUAAUUUCGUCUACAUUUAGUACUCCAUGCAUGUACCGCAAGUUUGAUGUGACGGGGAAUCUUCUUUUUGCAUAGUGUCAAAGUUAGGAGUUGGGAGGUAACUAAACAUGACCUGAAUUGUGGCUCUGUGUUGUUUCAGGAAGCCAUUGAUGAUGGUACUGAUAAUGAGCAUGAUUUUGACACAAAAUCUGAGAAUGUUCUAGAUCUGCAACAACAGGAAAAGACAAUAUAUCCUCAAAGGCCUGGUGAACCAGAGUGUUCUCACUACAUGAAGCAUGGAUACUGUAAAUUUCAGAAGAGCUGCAUAUUCCAUCAUCCGACAGACCAUCUUUCAAACAAAUAGGUACACACCGUUAUGUGGUUCUUUUUUUUUCCCCCUUGGUAUCAAAUGUUCACAUAAAUAUGGUUACACCCUUGGGGGUUUGUUUUGUGUAUGAAAUUUUCAUAUAAAUACAGCCUAGCAGUUAAGGAAAAAGGUGAAAUGGAUGGAGGCAGGUGUGUGUUUGGGAAAAAAGUAUAUAUGCAUGGAUUAAAUCAAUUCUACUUUGUGGCAAGUGGUUACUAUUACCCUAAUAUUGGCAACUACCUUAAAUUAUUGCAUGAUAAUGUAGGCACAUAGCAUCUGAGUUUAUUACUCUCUUGUAGUGUCCCUUUCUGGGUCCUGCAUAUGCUAUUUACCUGGCAACUGGCAUACAAGAAUGGCACUAGGAAAUCCCUUUUGGCAUUGCUGGUUUGGACACCUUGUCUCGUCUUUUAUGCAACAUGGCCCAUAAUUAAAGUUGGUCUCCAUUUGUAUUGCGUUUGAAUCAUCAGAGGGCGGUAGCUGAUGUUUGCACAGCAAAUGACCUGUGGAAACUGCACGGCAGCCUUCAUUGUUUUGCCCCCUCAUCUGACUGGUUACCCUGGUGUUUUUGAUUGCCUUGUUUGCAGGACCGUUUCACCACUACCACUUCUGUAGCUGACUCAGGUGGGGGAUAUGACUGGCUGUGGCUGAUGAGUGGAGGAAGUUCUGAUGAUGGAACAGAAAAUGAUUGUAGGGAGCUUCAACCCUAGUCUUCUGUGAAGAGAUUGAUUAUUCUACCACGUUUGGGUCGAAUUUCUGCCCCCUAUCUGUCGUUAGAGUUCUCGUACCAGAUGUGAACUGCCUGGUGGCUCCCAACUCCCAGUCGCUCAUAUGCCAUAUAACGUUGCUGCGACCUCCCUGUGUUGUUAACUUGAGGUUGCGAACCACAUACUUAGCAUGCAGCUCUAGAUGCCUGCACUGACCGACCGAAGAUUGUGAUCAUGGCAAGAUUAAAAUAUCAGACCAUCUUUUGUAACGUGCGAUCUCCAUCGUUUUAUUUGUCGUUUGGAUCUUCAAGCUAAGUCGCGGCCUUUACUUUCUGUUGUCCCCUGAUAAGCAUGCAUGUGUUGGACUGUUGGUUAUGGUUGGGUCAGGCUGCUGGCCAAACCGAACGGUGGUCAAGCCGUUCGAUCGAUGCUGCGAGUUCAAGAGUCUUCUGCGCGUGUCCAGGCUUGGAGCUCUGGUCUUGCCUAAGGGUAUGGUAGUAUUACGCUGUGCGGAAUAAUUUGAUUUGGUCUGAUUGAUUCCCAAUUUUCAAAUGGUUGUUAGGUAUCGUCGUCGUCGUCGUGCACAGCACUCAUGAGACGCACGUUGGCGACACGCACCUGCACAUUGCCCAAGUUCCAAGGAAAGUAAAUUAAGAUGCUCGCAAUCAUGUGAGAGACGGUGCUCCUCAAAAGAUCGAUACCUAAACCAUGAACGAUCAUGCGAACCUGAAUUAUUGCGGUUGCAAGUGGCUACGGCGGAAUCAGAUCCCUCUGACUGAGAAUUCAGAUUACAAAUAAUCCUGGGACCCGGGUUGGCCGUUCGCAUUUGCAGUCACGCAUCAAGCGAUUAGGAUCACCUCUCUACAAAGCAUUCCGCAAUCAGCACGGAGUAGAAGCAUACACUUUGGAACCCCCCACCCCUCAUUUUUUCUUGUCGCUAAUAGUACCCCAUCCCCCGGUCAUGGCGGCGGUUCUGGACGCGUUCGCGUCCAAGCUGGCGAGCAUCCUAGCCGGCAUGGCGAAGGGCGAAGUGGAGAUGCUUCUUGGCGUACCCGGUGAGAUCACCAAGCUUGAGACCACGCUCGGCGACCUGAGCAGCAUUCUGGCAGAUGCUGAGAGGAGGCGCAUCCGUGACUCGACGGUGGAGCGGUGGGUGAGGGAGCUCAAGGAUGUCAUGUACGACGCCGAUGACAUCCUUGACCUCUGCCAGAUCAUGGAGGGCGGAGAAGAUCCCUCUUCUUCAGCUGCUGCUCGAAAAGCCACUUCAGGGUGCUGGAACAUCCCCGCGAUGUUCUUUUGCUUCCGCAACCCCGUGGUUGCACACGAGAUCGGGAAGAAGAUCCAAGCGCUCAACAAGCGACUGGAAGAUCUUGAGAAGAGAAGCUCCCGCUUUGGAUUCAUCAAGCAAGCAAUUAACUCCUCAGGUUAUUCCAUCAACAAUGCCAUCAAUCCUUGGUCCAAUAGUAAUACAAAGACUGGAUCGAUCAUUAUCAAGUCUGAUGUUGUCGGCGAGAAGAUCGAGGAGGAUACCAAGAAAAUCGUUGAUCUACUCAUCAGAAUGUGGACUCUCGCGUAGGAUUAAAUAGCAACAAUGUGAUUGUUGAUCUUGCANNNNNNNNNNNNNNNNNNNNNNNNNNNNNNNNNNNNNNNNNNNNNNNNNNNNNNNNNNNNNNNNNNNNNNNNNNNNNNNNNNNNNNNNNNNNNNNNNNNNUCAGGACAUGGUAUGCCAUUGUAACACAGGUAGUCUCAGGAUGAUGAUUCCUCUAACACAAUGGAUUAGUAUGGUGCGAACUUAAUUGCCAAAAAGAUAGAGAACUUCAGAUUGAUGCUAUCUUUUUUGUACUACGGGUGUCAACAUGUACACUCUACGAAGGCACAGGGUUGUCCGAAGUAGCCAGACGAAUGCAUUACUCCUCAUUGAUUAUGACCCUCCUCCAGAUGGCGCAGGUCGGCGAACCUUGGCUACACCGAGUAUAUCAUUAGCACUCUCUGGAAAGAACUAACGCCCGCCCCAGUCCGGUGACGGACUGCGCACGUGUGAUGCACGCGCCGUUGGUUUGCCGAGUGUCGAAAUGUUGCCGUGUGUCGCUGAGAGGUUUGCCGAGUGGCAAAAUUUUUACACUCGGCAUUGAGGUCAUUUGCCGAGUGCCAUAAAUCCGACACUCGGCAAACCUCUCAGCGACACACGGCAACAUUCCGACACUCGGCAAACCAACGGCGCGUGCAUCACACGUGCGCCGUCCGUCACCGGACUGGGGCGGCCGUUAGUUCUUUGCCGAGUGUUGGACUCCGACACUCGGCAAAGACAAGGUUCGCCGAGUGCCGCCUUCCGACACUCGGCAAAUAGAGAAUGUCGCCGAGUGCCUAGGCCUAGCCACUCGGCAAACACAGUACUUCGCCGAGUGUAAAAUGUUGGCACUCGGCGAACAAAAAAAAAAAAUCCUCCCCUAGCCUCCACACUUUUUCUACUCUCCACGUAGGACAUUUUGUAAGCCAUAAGAAAAGUUGGUAUAUUUUGUGGUCUGUUUGCUAUUUUUAAUGAAAUGAUUGCAUUAAUAAGAAUUUUUUUAUUCAUGUCAGAUUUUAACUGCAUGUACAUGAAAUGAUGGUUUUUAAUCAGUGGAAAAUUUAUAUCCAUAUUAUGGAGUCCGGAUUGAGUUCACAACCAGAAAAUGAAAAGAAAUUGUCAACAUUGUUUUUAAAAAAUGCCACCACGAACGUGAGGUUGAAUGGUGGUUAAAUUCCAAAAAAAGCAAACGAAAUCUGAAAAUCACAAGAUUUGUCAAGAUGUCAUGAUAUUAUGUGUGGAGGCUGUGGUAAAAAAUUGAGAAGGUUUUGCACAAUUUCUGACAUAUGAUGCUUAGAAGCCGACGCAUCUCCUUGAAGGAUUCAUAGAAGUUAGAGAGGACACAAUAAGAUUUGGAGUCCAAGUGACACUUGAGUUAACGUUUGGCUUCAAAUAUUUUUGCAUAGGCAACAUGCAACACAGAUUGGUUCGUGUCAAAAUUUGGAAAUUUUUUGGAUGCGUUUACUAUUUUUUAUUGAUUAAAUGCAAUUAUAGAAUUUUAGUAGAUAUAAAUGCAUAUUUCGCUAUAACUGCAUGAAAUAAUAGAACAUUAUCAGUAGAAAAAUAAUUUAAACAUUGUUGAGUGAUGUUGACACGAUUUUGCCCAAGUAUAUUAGGAAAAGAUCUGUAAAACAUGUUGUUUAAGGAGGCACAUGAAAUAUAAGUGUAUUUUACCGAGUGCAUAAAGAAAACACUCGGUAAAGGUAGUAUUUGCCGAGUGUUAGAUCGCAGGCACUCGGUAAAAAGGUUACAGGGCCCACUGGCAGUGUUCUCGUCCUGCUUUAAAAAAGAAAACCUUGUGUUUGCCGAGUGCCUUGAUCUGGCACUCNNNNNNNNNNNNNNNNNNNNNNNNNNNNNNNNNNNNNNNNNNNNNNNNNNNNNNNNNNNNNNNNNNNNNNNNNNNNNNNNNNNNNNNNNNNNNNNNNNNNNNNNNNNNNNNNNNNNNNNNNNNNNNNNNNNNNNNNNNNNNNNNNNNNNNNNNNNNNNNNNNNNNNNNNNNNNNNNNNNNNNNNNNNNNNNNNNNNNNNNNNNNNNNNNNNNNNNNNNNNNNNNNNNNNNNNNNNNNNNNNNNNNNNNNNNNNNNNNNNNNNNNNNNNNNNNNNNNNNNNNNNNNNNNNNNNNNNNNNNNNNNNNNNNNNNNNNNNNNNNNNNNNNNNNNNNNNNNNNNNNNNNNNNNNNNNNNNNNNNNNNNNNNNNNNNNNNNNNNNNNNNNNNNNNNNNNNNNNNNNNNNNNNNNNNNNNNNNNNNNNNNNNNNNNNNNNNNNNNNNNNNNNNNNNNNNNNNNNNNNNNNNNNNNNNNNNNNNNNNNNNNNNNNNNNNNNNNNNNNNNNNNNNNNNNNNNNNNNNNNNNNNNNNNNNNNNNNNNNNNNNNNNNNNNNNNNNNNNNNNNNNNNNNNNNNNNNNNNNNNNNNNNNNNNNNNNNNNNNNNNNNNNNNNNNNNNNNNNNNNNNNNNNNNNNNNNNNNNNNNNNNNNNNNNNNNNNNNNNNNNNNNNNNNNNNNNNNNNNNNNNNNNNNNNNNNNNNNNNNNNNNNNNNNNNNNNNNNNNNNNNNNNNNNNNNNNNNNNNNNNNNNNNNNNNNNNNNNNNNNNNNNNNNNNNNNNNNNNNNNNNNNNNNNNNNNNNNNNNNNNNNNNNNNNNNNNNNNNNNNNNNNNNNNNNNNNNNNNNNNNNNNNNNNNNNNNNNNNNNNNNNNNNNNNNNNNNNNNNNNNNNNNNNNNNNNNNNNNNNNNNNNNNNNNNNNNNNNNNNNNNNNNNNNNNNNNNNNNNNNNNNNNNNNNNNNNNNNNNNNNNNNNNNNNNNNNNNNNNNNNNNNNNNNNNNNNNNNNNNNNNNNNNNNNNNNNNNNNNNNNNNNNNNNNNNNNNNNNNNNNNNNNNNNNNNNNNNNNNNNNNNNNNNNNNNNNNNNNNNNNNNNNNNNNNNNNNNNNNNNNNNNNNNNNNNNNNNNNNNNNNNNNNNNNNNNNNNNNNNNNNNNNNNNNNNNNNNNNNNNNNNNNNNNNNNNNNNNNNNNNNNNNNNNNNNNNNNNNNNNNNNNNNNNNNNNNNNNNNNNNNNNNNNNNNNNNNNNNNNNNNNNNNNNNNNNNNNNNNNNNNNNNNNNNNNNNNNNNNNNNNNNNNNNNNNNNNNNNNNNNNNNNNNNNNNNNNNNNNNNNNNNNNNNNNNNNNNNNNNNNNNNNNNNNNNNNNNNNNNNNNNNNNNNNNNNNNNNNNNNNNNNNNNNNNNNNNNNNNNNNNNNNNNNNNNNNNNNNNNNNNNNNNNNNNNNNNNNNNNNNNNNNNNNNNNNNNNNNNNNNNNNNNNNNNNNNNNNNNNNNNNNNNNNNNNNNNNNNNNNNNNNNNNNNNNNNNNNNNNNNNNNNNNNNNNNNNNNNNNNNNNNNNNNNNNNNNNNNNNNNNNNNNNNNNNNNNNNNNNNNNNNNNNNNNNNNNNNNNNNNNNNNNNNNNNNNNNNNNNNNNNNNNNNNNNNNNNNNNNNNNNNNNNNNNNNNNNNNNNNNNNNNNNNNNNNNNNNNNNNNNNNNNNNNNNNNNNNNNNNNNNNNNNNNNNNNNNNNNNUUCUUCAUUCGACAAACAUCGACAAUUCCUUCUCCUGAUCAUCCUUUCAGACGAGAUAUUAGAAAUUUUACAAAAGAUGUCGUAGUUAACGACCCUCCACCGCAGAUGCUUACUUAGCCGCGGUUCGUGCUCAGUUAGACGCUCUGGAGGUCAACAUUCAAGAUGGUGGUUUUGUGGGAUAUGGCGAGCAACAUGCUUGGACCCAGAGAUCGUGCUUGUGGAACCUCCCCUAUUUUGAUGAUCUUCUUCUCCCACACAACAUUGAUGUUAUGCAUACUGAAAAGAACAUUGCCGAGGCAAUUUUUGGUACCAUUAUGGACAUUCCUGACAAGACAAAAGAUAACGUUAAGGCUAGAGUGGAUCAAGCAAUGUUAUGCAACAGACCAAAGUUAGACAUGGCGCCUCCCAGAGCAGGCAAGUCGUGGAGAAAGCCUAAGGCUGAUUUCGUCCUGACGAGGGCCCAAAGGAGGGAGGUAUUACAAUGGUUCGAAACGUUAAUGUUCCCUGAUGGGUAUGCAGCAAAUCUGAAGAGGGGAGUGAACUUAGCUACUAUGCGAAUCAACGGGCUCAAAAGUCAUGAUUAUCACAUAUGGAUUGAGCGUCUACUUCCGGUGAUGGUUCGAGGUUAUGUCCCUGAGCAUGUGUGGCAGGUGCUAGCGGAGUUGAGUAAUUUCUUCCGCCAGCUUUGUGCUAAGGAGUUAUCUCGGACCGUGGUUGACGAAAUGGAAAGAAUGGCGCCUAUGUUGCUCUGUAAGUUGGAGAAGAUCUUUCCUCCUGGCUUCUUCAAUCCGAUGCAGCAUAUGAUUUUACACCUCCCUUAUGAAGCACGAAUGGGGGGGCCUGUGCAGGGCCGUUGGUGCUACUCAAUUGAGAGGUGUCAAAAGGUUCUUCGAACGAAAUGUAAAAACAAAUGCAAAAUUGAAGCCUCCAUUGCAGAAGCAUACAUUCUAGAGGAGGUGUCAAACUUCACAACAAAAUACUAUGCUGACAACCUUCCUAAUGUGCACAAUCCACCGCCUCGUUACAAUGACAACGAAGUUGAAUCGAGCCUUAGUCUUUUUCGAGGACAACUUGGAAGUGCAAGUGGUGCGACACAAAAAAAAUUGACACAUAAAGAGUGGCGCACAAUCAUGUUGUAUGUAUUGACCAACCUAUCCGAGGUGGAGCCGUACAUGCUGUAAGUUUUGAACAAACUAGUUAAUUCUGAAUUUGUCAGUAUUCUUCGACAUAUUAUCAUGUUUCUCGUUGGUGUAGGGAAUUCCAUCGUAAGUUUUGGCGUCAUUCAAGGGAACCUACCCCACAAGAAGCCGAGACUCUUCUCAAAGAGGGUGCAGGAAAUGGAAUGCCCAAUUUCAUUUCCUGGUUCAAACAUAAGGUACAGUUGAUUUUAGCUCCUACUUAGCUUGAUUAGAAGUUGAUCGUAUAUGCGAAUAAUAUAACGAACCACCCUACNNNNNNNNNNNNNNNNNNNNNNNNNNNNNNNNNNNNNNNNNNNNNNNNNNNNNNNNNNNNNNNNNNNNNNNNNNNNNNNNNNNNNNNNNNNNNNNNNNNNCUACACAUCCUCGUGUGGGAUUAGGACCUAUCUUCACCUAAUAGAUAAUAUAGGAAACGCGUAGAUGCAACGUGAGUUUUUUAUAUUACUCGGUGAUAUGCUAGUGGAUGGAGGAUCGUCAGUGGAUGUACACGGGCCGAUCUAGUCAGAAUUCGUUGACCGAAGAAUGGAUAAACAAGACCGAUGCUUUCUUGGAACGGGCAUUUGCAAGGAUCAAAGGAGGAAGAGAUACUUGGUGUCCGUGUAGAAAAUGUGGAAAUCUGCGUCGGCAAACCAAGUUAGAAAUGGGUAAACAUCUUGUUAGGCACGGUUUUACCCCAGACUAUACCAUCUGGAUCUACCAUGGUGAAUUCGAUCGUGGGAGGGACGAGGUCAUCAGACAACGGAUCGAGCAAUAUGAUGAUGAUGCCGGGGUGGGAGACAUGUUAGAUGACUAUCAUGAAGCUCGUAGGGAGGAGGAACCCGAGGCUACCGCAAAGGCGUAUUACGACAUGUUGUGUGCGGCACAGCAACCCCUUCACGGGCAUACCAAGGUCUCUCAAUUGGAUGCCAUUGCACGUCUAAUGGCUGUUAAGUCCCAGUUUAGCUUGAGUCGAAACGCCUUCGAUGUUAUUUUGACAGUUUUUGGGAGUCUGCUCCCGGAGAAUCACAUCUUGCCAAAGUCUAUGUAUGAGGCACAAAAACUUCUUCGUGCACUUAAGAUGCCGUACGAGCAGAUACAUGCUUGUCCGAAGGGAUGUAUCUUAUUUAGAAAGGAAUAUGCGGAAUCAAAGUACUGUGUGAAGUGCGAAUCGUCUAGGUUCCUGGAGGUAGACUCUGGUGAAGGUCAGAAGAAGCAGCUUGCAAUCCCUGUGAAGAUCCUUCGGUACCUUCCCUUCAUACCGAGGAUCCAACGGCUAUACAUGUGUGAAGAAUCCGCGAAACAAAUGACAUGGCACAAAACCGGACGUCGAUACAAUGCUGAGAAGCUGGUACACCCAUCCGAUGGCGAAGCAUGGACAAAGUUUGAUGCGAUUUAUCAUGAGAAAGCUCGAGAGGCUCGUAAUGUAAGGGUUGCGCUCGCAACAGAUGGGUUCAAUCCUUAUGGAAUGGCUUCCGCCCCGUACACCUGUUGGCCUAUGUUCGUUAUCCCCCUCAAUCUCCCCCCUGGUGUUCUCUUUCAGCGACAGAACAUAUUUUUAUCGUUGAUAAUUCCAGAACAUCCAGGAAAUAAUAUGAGUGUGUACAUGGAGCCUUUAAUUGAUGAUUUGGUUCGUGCAUGGGAUGAAGGGGUAUGGACAUACGACCGUGCUACAAGGACAAACUUCAAGAUGCAUGUUUGGUAUCACUACUCCCUGCAUGACUUGCCAGCAUAUGGUAUUUUCUGUGGUUGGUGUGUUCACGGGAAGUUCCCAUGCCCAGUAUGCAAGGCUUCUUUGAAAUUCAUUUGGUUGACGAAGGGUGGCAAAUAUUCUUCAUUCGACAAACAUCGACAAUUCCUUCCUCCUGAUCAUCCUUUCAGACGAGAUAUUAGAAAUUUUACAAAAGAUGUCGUAGUUAACGACCCUCCACCGCAGAUGCUUACCUUAGCCGCGGUUCGUGCUCAGUUAGACGCUCUGGAGGUGAUGCACAGGCCGAGGAAACGGAGGGGGCACAGGUCCUUGCUAGAGGCAGGGGUCGGGGCAGGGGUCGAGGAAAGGGUAAAGGCGUGAGGCCCCCCUCGCCUGCGCCUUCGUCGUCGUCGGAGGACGAGGUACCUUUCGCGCACGCCUCUAGUGACGAGGCGGAGGUGGAGCAGGAGCAGGAGCAGGAGCAGGAGCAGGAGCAGGAGGCAGGGGAGGAGGCAGGGGAUUCGCAGUCCAAGAUCUGGUUGCGAGGUCCCUCGUCCCUUCCGAGGCGACCGAUCCCUCUUCAUUUACGCCCACUGAUUCAACCUACCGGGGCAAAGUAAGUAAUUUUACAUAUUCUUAGUACUUUUGAUAUGUUCAAAUUUACAAUAGAAACUAAUAAUGUAUAUUACUCACUUGUGUAGGAGUUGGAUUAAGCUCAGUGGGGGUGCCCACAAUCGCAAGGUCAACGGCAUCAUCGGUCUUUUGUGUAGGCUACACUUUCCCGGUCUGGUGGUUUUCGCCGGACAGGAGGAGCCGGCCUACACGUGGGACCACUACGUCGCCGCCGCCGACGUCGGUGAUCGUGACCACAGGCAAUUUGCGAACAAGGCGGAGCGAGUGAAGGCCGAGCUGUGGGUAAGUAUUCGAAGCACUAGAUUGCUUAAUACACAAGUUUCGCUAGACAUUCUUGAAAAAAUACUUGUUUGAAAUGUGUCUAUACGCAGGACUUUUAUAGAUGCCAAGAGGGAUUCGAGGCUAGGGCGGCCUCCGUCAUUGAACUAGCCGCAAAGAAGCUCGUUAAGGACAUGCACUACGAGGCGCGGGUUCAGGCCAUCAUCGACUUCUAUGCUGAAUACAAAAGGAUGAGGGUCAAAAAAGAAGAGGCUAGGACAAUGAACCUGACGAAGGAAGAAUUCAUGAUGGUACGUACAAAAAGUUAAUAUUAACUAUUUCUGAGAUUAAUUACGCUUCACUUCUUUUGUUAUAUGUCUGACACUUGAUGAUGUAGGUGCCUCCGUGGUGGUGCCGAUCCUUUACCCAUUGUUGGGAGCAAAUGGUGAACGUGUGGUUGCAGCCCGGGUGGUUGGAGAACCACAAUGCUUGCCGGGAGCGGCGUCUGCAGAUGCCAUAUGCACCACACCAUCAAGGCAGCCUGAGCCUUGAUGAAUACAAGGAAAAAUGGGUAUGUGAAUUCAUUUCUUUAGUAUCACACAUAAUGCACAUAAUACUGCAUAUUUUGUAAUCCUUUUGUAUUUUUGCCGCAGACGUCAUCACAUGAAGGCCAGGAGUGCUCCCGGUUCAAGGCAUGGGUUAUGUCCAAAAAGGGCAAGGCCUCGGCAGACAUCGACUUCAACCCGGAGGACCCGCCCGAGGCAUACAGCCAUCCCAGCAUCCACAGCCGUGUCACCGAGUACACAGCAAUGGCGAGGGAGGUUCAUGGGCCAGAGUUCGAUCCGAGCUCUCAGGAUAUAGAUCCUGAAAUUGUGAUGAGGGUGGGAGGAGGGAAGAAGCAUGGCAGGUACUGGAUUGGAGAUAGCGUGAUCGACACUACCAGUACUCCCACCCUCUCCCAGAUCCGAGCAAGGAGCACUGACUCGAGCCCCGCGAUACGGGCACGGCCUACCGCUGCACAGUUACAGAUGCAGGCUCUGCAGGUUAUUCCUGUUUCUUUAAUUUUUCAUUCAUUUUGUUCAUAUCUUGGCAUUGGCAAUAAGACAUUGGGAUGAAAUAUUGUAGGCCCAGGUGGAGGUAGAACGGAAGCGCCGGGAGGACCUAGAGGCGAGGAUCGAGGCAGAUCGGCAGCUAGAAAGGCAGAGGACGGAGCAGAUGUUCCAAUACAUGCAGAGUGUCUUUCACAGUUUAGGUCAGACUCCACCACCUAUGCCACCGAACCUAUUCCCGCCACCUCCACCACCUCCUGCAGCUACUCCUGUGAGUCACUCUCAACCUUACAAUCACUCUAGAAGUAAACUAGAAACUACAGGCACUACAGACUUACACUAGAAAAGUGACUAAUACAAUGUCUAUAAUUUGUGCAGAAUCAAUCGGCGGCGUCCAAUGCAGAAUCUUCUUGGGGGCAGUGGCCACCUGCACAUACUCCUCAGCCUCCUCAUCCUCCUCAUCCUCCUCAGUGACUUGUGAACUAGAUGUGUUAGCUGUGGUAAAACUUGUGAAUUACCUGUUUCGACCAUAACUUGCGAAUGUUAUUUGUGUGCUUGUGAUGCUUGUGCUGCAAUUUAUAUGCCUGUGGUGUAAUUUAUAUGCAUGUGCUUCUCUGGUUGUUUUUUUGAGAGGGGUCUUUUAUACGUAACAUUUUUGUUUUGUAGGGGGUGCUCGGGUACUUUGCCGAGUGUUAACACUCGGCAAAGACCCAAUUUUCUGUUGUAUCGACGUUUUUACCGAGUGCCAUUGCCUUGGCACUCGGCAAAGAUGCCAAAUUUUUUUUGCAGCAGGGCUCUUUGCCGAGUGCCAAGGGGGGCACUCGGCAAAACAUACAACUUCGCCGAGUGCCGUUGCCCAGGCACUCGGCAAAGGUGCCAAAAAUUUUUUGCACCAGGGCUCUUUGCCGAGUGCCAAGGGCGGGCACUCGGCAAAACAUACAACUUCGCCGAGUGCCAUUGCCUUGGCACUCGGCAAAGUUGGUAGGAUCGCCGAGUGUAAUGCGAAGAAAACACUCGGCAAAGAGGAAUACUUCGCCGAGUGCAAUGUGACAAAACACUCGGCAAAGCAGGUGGGUUCGCCGAGUGCAAUGUGAAAAAACACUCGGCAAAGAAGAUGGGUUCGCCGUGUGUCUGCCGUCUGACACUCGGCAAAGACGCCGUUACCGUCGGUGACCGUUACCAUCUUUUUGCCGAGUGUUACACUUUGCCGAGUGUAUUGUGGCACUCGGCAAAGCGUUUGCCGAGUGCCCGAUGAUUGACACUCGGCAAACGCACUGUUUGCCGUAGGAAACUUUGCCGAGUCAACUUCGCCGAGUGUUACACUCGGCAAACCUUUUGCCGAGUGUAAUUGACCCUUCGCCGAGUGCCCCAGGCACUCGGCAAAGUUACUGUUUCCGGUAGUGAAAGCUCAACAUCUUCAUCGAGUUGACAAGCUGCAAACAGAAGAUGCUUGGAUUUUACUAAAGAACCAGGUCAGUAAUAACUCACAUAUAACAUCACUUUUAGUCUUCUUCCUUUUCUUUUUCUUUUUCUCCCUUGGAGUUUCGCCAUCCUUUCUCUUUUCCGCUCUCCGCUGCAAUUUUUAUUGAAACGAGGCAGGAGAGUUGCCCAUUAUAUUAAGUAGUCCAUCAACCCGUGCUCCCGCACGGGCUAAUAUUUUUAGAAGCUAUUGUAUUUGAAAAUUAUUUAGAAAUUAAACUCCUAGCUAAUAAUCAAAAUUGAUUACCUACUACUCUCUUAUUUUUUUCAAUACGUCAACAUUAUACUUAUAUAGAUAUGUACCUAUCUUUAUCCAAUUGUGAUUGAUUUUUAAUUAAUAAUUACUCUAUGCACUUUUUCAUCCAUAUUCAUACUUUUUCCAUUUUGUAUCGCACCUCAAAUCCUCCAUACAUUAUGUUUAGCAUACAAAUCAAUAUUUUUCAUCGAUUCCUGACGUACAUGCAUAAAUGGUCUAAAUGGUGACACUUGUAUAUACUUUAACUUAGUAUUUUUAUAUUAAUAAUGACAUAAAUAGGUAAUUUAGAAUCAUAUAUUAGUUUAUUUUUGACAUUUAUGCAUGAUGCACAUGAAGAUAAUUAGAUUAAGAUUUAGAUGUUUAUUUUAGGUUAUUUUUAAUAACAACUUACGUGGGUAAUAUAGAUAAAAUUUUAGAAUGACUUUUUAAGUUAUACUUUAUAAUGAUAUGUAUUAGUAAAUUCGAUGAAGAUUAUAGGAUUACUUUAGAUUAUUUUUUAUAAUAGCUGAGCUCGGUAAUUUAGAUAUAGGUUUAGAGCUCAUUUUUUAAUAUUUUCACAAUGAUAGUGGUGGUUAACUUUUUAGAAAAUAUAAUAGAUUAAUGGCUAUGAUUAUUAGAGUUUAUAGGAUUGGUGUUUGAUAUUUUUGAUUUUUAUGAGAAUUUGUCUCUUUUUUUUCUAGCUUGUCUUAUGGGAACUAAUGCGGAGUCUCCAAUGAAAAAAAAUGGAACUACAUUGCUCAAAAAUAUUACCAUAAGCUACCUCUCGUUUGUUAAAUAUUCAAACACAAUAGAUAUAUACUUAUUAUCUUCAUCUAAUUGUCAUAGAUUUUAGUUAGUAAUUACUCUAUAAUAUUUUCAUCCACAUUUAUAAUCUUUAACUUUUCACUUUGCAUCGCAGGUAUGCGUUUGAAUUUGUUUAAUGAACCCUAAGUUUGUGAUACAAUUUUAACAUAGAAAUCUAUAUUCUCAUCACUUCCUCUAUAUCUUUAUAAAUGGUGACACAUCAUGUGUAUAGACCUUAAUUUUAUAUCAUAUACCAAUAGUGCAAGAUAUAGACGAUUUAGAAUCAUAUAUUGUUGUAUAUUUUAAUUAAGGUUAUUUGAUUCAAACGUAGGGUUAUCAUGUUACUUUUAAUGAUGGCAUGUGUGGGUAAUAUAGAUGCAAAUUUAACAGGUUACUUUAAGUUUUUAAGUAAUAGUGGUGGGCAAUUUGGUUGCAAAUUAGGGGGUUAUUUUAAAUAUUGUUUAUAAUGGCAUAAGUGAGUAAUUUUGAUGAAGAUUAGGGGGUUACUUUAGUUUAUUUUAUAUAAUGGCAGAGGUGGGUAAUUUAUAUAUAGAUUUAAGGGGUUACUUUAGGUUAUUUUCAUAAUGGUAUAGGUGGGUAAUUUUUUAGAAAACAUAAUAGAUUUAAUGGCUAUGAUGAUUUGAAUCUAUAGAUCAAUGGUCGGAUGUUUUGCUUUUUUGUGAGAAUUUCUAGAAUUUCUCUCUUUUUCCAGAGUGUCCACCUAGGAAUCCUAGGUGGCUUCACCUGAAGGCUUCAAAAGGAGCCUCCAAUUAGUAAUAGUAAGAUAAGAUUGAGAAGAGAAGACGGCCAAUGGCCGGAGAUUUACAGCGGGGUAUGUAAGUUCAAAAAGGUCACGCUCUACACAAUAAGCGUGCCAAAUUCUUAGCCCAGCUAGAACCCAUGUCUUAGCUUCGUCUCUGAUCUUUGUGGCAAUCCUAAACGGCGGUGCUUCAACUCUCUAAAAUAUGCGGGAGUUGCAUUCUAACCACACUUCCCAGCAAACUAAAAUGAUUAGAGAGUGCAGACCUUUGUGCGAGAUCCCUGUCGUUCUUGCCCUGUCCUCCCACCAUACUUGAAGUGACGCAUAAGGUUAAGGUUGAGGUUGCAGUUAUUCUUGUCACUGGCUUUGUAGAUGAGAUUAAAAUCUUCAAGCAGAAGCCAAGGAGUUCCAUUCAGGGGCUUGAUGUUUGUGAGUUCCUGGAGAAAAGCUUGUUUUUUGGUUUGUCUUGAGGGCCAUAUUUAGCCGGAAGUUAAUUGGUUGUUCGCGUAAGUUGGCUGUUGCAGUUAUGUGAAAUUCGCUAAUUGAAAUGUCGCUUAUGUCGACAUAGUUGUCAUUCCAUAGUAGUAGGAUGCCCCCUCUAGUGCCGCUCCGUCUUUCUGCAGGCUUGUAUUCAAAUUUGUUCAGAUGAUGCCUGCCCAGGUAGGCUGCCGUGAAUUGGUCGAUGUUACUUGGUCUCCUGCACGCAUGCUAUGUGGCAUAGCGUUGAUGCCAUUGUCUUGUGAGCCUUUAUCGUUCGCUCUUAACCUACCAAAACAUGCCUCAUGUGUAAUGAUCGAACAUUCUACUGACGUCGAGUGAAGUUCUAUUUGGUUGCUCUAGCGCACCCACUUUAUUUUUACCUACUAUGACAACCUCUGUUUAAGUUAUUGCUAAAUCCAAUGCAUUAUAACACAGCAUAGUUUGUAUACGCUUGAGUUUUUUUAAUUGUAGCGCCACUUUCUCUCUCACACACGCUACAAUUUUUCUAAUAGGUAGUUUUGAAUGAGAGUGAUGAAGCUGAUGUCGAUGAAUUGAGGAGUAUCGGGAUGGAAAUUGUUAAAAGAUGUGACCGCUUGCCGUUAGCAGUUAAGGUCCUUGGAGGACUCUUGCGCUGCAAAAGUAGAACAAGAGAUGCUUGGACGGAUGUUACUAGCCACAACACUUGGUCGACAACAGGAAUCGAUGAAGAUAUUAAUAAAGCGGUCUAUUUGAGUUAUGAAGACUUGCCCUCACACCUGAAGCAAUGUUUUGUGUAUUGUUCCCUAAUCCCUAAAGGUAAAUUAAUAAUGAGAGGAACAAUGGUCCGGCUUUGGAUUGCAGCAGGUCAUGUACACAACAAGGCACCAGAAAAGUUGGGGAAAGAAUACUACAAAGAAUUGGUUUCAAGAAAUCUUCUAGAACCAAACAAAAAAUACUAUGGUAGAUCAGCAUGCAGCAUGCACGAUGUUAUCCGAUCCUUCACUCAGUAUAUAAUUAAAGAUGAAGGGAUACUUGUUAGUGAUGGGCAGGAUGUCAAUAGAAGUCUUAGCACUGCAAAGCUUCGGCACCUAUCUAUCUCAAACAAGGCACUAGGGCAUGACACUUUGCAAAAACAAGCCUUGCUUAGAACAUUAAUGUUAUUCGGAAGCAGCACCAUUGUUGAGCUAAAGGAUCUGUUGAACAACUUUUCUUGCCUAAGAGUACUACAUCUAGUAGAUGUAGAUCUAGUUGAGCUGCCAGACUCCAUAUGCCACCUCAAACAUUUAAGAGACUUAAGUAUUUAUAACGCAAGCAUAUCCACAAUUCCUCAAGGCAUAGGAGAUCUAAAAUUUCUACAAUCUAUUGACCUUGAUGGGUGUGCAAAUAUUCAUCAACUUCCUAACAGCAUCCUAAAGCUGCGGAAGCUAAGGUCACUCAACUUGAGCGACACGGCAAUCACUUCAAUUCCUCGUGGCUUGGGAAAACUAGAAGAUUUGGUCCACAUAAGCGGGUUUCCAACACAUUAUUCAGAUGAGAGCACAUGUGGCUGGUGCAGCUUAGAAGAACUCAGACCUCUGUCGAAGCUCCAAAGCCUUGAAAUAAGUUGUCUGGAGAAAGCACCUUCCGGUUCUAUGGCUGCUAAAGCAAACCUUAGCAGUAAACAUCACCUGACACGGUUACAUUUGGUAUUUACCAGCAGGCUAGGAGACAACGGGAAGGUCAAAGGCAACAUUAGCGAGGAGGAACACAGGAGAACAGAGGAGGUGCUGGAUAAUCUGUGUCCUCCAACUUGCAUGGAAGAACUUGAUAUCAAAGGCUACUUUGCACGUGGGCUACCGCAGUGGAUGAGAACCAUGUCAGCCUUUGGGAGCUUAAGGCGGUUGCAGCUAGAUGACGACGCAUGCUGCACGCAUCUACCUAAUGGAUUGGGGCAGCUCCCCUUUCUUGAUUAUUUUUGGUUCAAUCGUGCUCCGUCUGUCCGGUGCGUUGGGCACGAUUUCCUCUUCCCCUCCUUGGGUGGUCAAGCUGAUGGCAAAGUAACACGGAACAAUAACAGGCAGCCUCAUCAUACUUUGCGAGGUGCUGGUGUUGCUUUUCCCAAGUUGAGAAAAGUGGGUUUUGUAGGCAUGCUGGGAUGGACGAAUUGGGAGUGGGAGCAGCACGUCCCAGCGAUGCCUGCACUAGAGGAGCUUACAAUCAUAAACUGCAAACUGCAACACCUUCCUGCAGGGCUUGCACAACAUGCAUGCCGGUUGAGAGAGUUGCGCCUGACACAUGUCCAGCACUUGGUCUCUGUUGAGAACUUCCCUUCACUAGUCAAGCUUUGGUCAUAUGACAACCCAAGGCUGGAGAGGAUCAGCAACAACCCGAGCUUGCAAUGGAUUGACAUUAGAAAUUGCCCAGCACUAGAACAAUUGGACGGUUUGCCAUCCCUCCGAAGCCUCGAGUGGAGGGAUUUGAGUGCUGAAGCACUCCCAGAAUACUUGCGAGAGGCAAAGCUAAAGAAAUUGCGUGUAGAUUGCAGCCGAAGAUUGCUCAAACUGAUAGCACUACAAGAUGAAUCCUCCGAAUGGGGAAAGAUCCAGCAUGUCCAGCAACUAGAGGCGUAUGGACACAAGAUAGAAGGAGAAGCGGAGGAAGCCGACCAAUCGCACGAAGAUGAGGAUGCCGAGUGGUACAUCUACUGUACCAAGGAGCCGUAUUCAUUCGACGCGUACCUGGGCAAGUCCACGGGUGAGUUCAUCUUCGACCUACUCGGUGGUUUUAUAACUGUAUGUGUGUGUACACUCAUGUAAAAAUGGAUUUCUAACUGUAUAUUCUCCUGCGCACAGGAUGAAGAUGAAGCAGAAGUAGACGAGGUGAACGAAGAGCAGAGUCCAGGAAUAGAAUAUAGUAAGAAUGCAAGGAACAGAGGAAGCUCUCAGGCUGUUACGACAGGACGAGCAUUCGAAUCCAUCCACCAAAUACUAGGUAUGAAUUGCCCAAAUACUGAUGGUCUUGUAGUUGUACACGCCAAAUUGGCUGUGACUAUUCUAACUGGAAAGCAUUGUCGUGUUAACGCAGGAGAAAGAAACCCAAGAAGGAGAAGAACACAUCGCAAUUGGGUGGUGGCAAUGUGGCAUACUGUCCCUCAAAUUCGUAAGUUGUAUAUGUUUGUGUGCGAAAAAUAUAAUACAGCAGUAAGGCGCGAGCGUCUCUCUAACCAGUUGUUGUGACGCUCAGGAAUGGAGCGCCAGCACGGGCGGCCUUGGACUCGUUGGAGCGAAUACGCGUCGGGGACGAGCGAUGGGCUGAGAGGUGAAGCACUGAACGUGCGCGCGAAGGGCAGCAGGGAAGGGAUUUGCACAUUUAGCUCCCAGGAUUUGCACUUCUUGUUGGCGUAUUUGUAGGCAGGUCUGCACUCCAUCUCUUCUUUUCGGUUGGUCUCUGCUAGCUCGUCAGACUUUCUACAGUGUUUUUGAAUGUUCGAUAGCAAAUGAGUGUAGGAAUUUGCAGACGUGCUCUAUGAUGCCGAGAUAACAAUUGCAUCCCCCCCUCAUGGAUCCUCUGGAAAGCUGAAGCUACUCUGCAAGACUGCAACGAUUGCAGCAACACGGACGUGCCUACUAAAAACAUGGUGCAAUAAAACUGCGAAAUGCUAAACAAGGUCAAGCCGGCAGCCAGGUAAACAACAUUCCAGGCAGCAGGUAUAUUCUGAGCCGUGUGAGAAUUAUCUGUCUGCAAUAGCUUUUUCAUGGGUAGCUAUCACUCGCAUGUGGAUCGUGUCUCUGGCUGAUCCGUUCAGCGUGGACCGGAGCCAACAACGGGGAUAAGAAGUCCCAACUAGUAGUAGUUGGCUGCCAAUGCGGUGGCCAAAAUUUGACCAAGCCAAGGCUAGUAAACAGCAAAUUUGGUACUGUAGGCGCGCUAUUAUAUAGCGGAAGCAACCAAAGUUAUAUAAAUAUUAAUUAUGGAUAAUACAAAGUUAUAUAAAUAUUAAUUAUGGAUAAUAAAGAGGGAGAACUAAUCAGGACGCUGACGAUGCUUCUAGUUGAUCCAUCAUGCUCCAAAAUCUUUCUGCAAGUCAGGAGCUGCAGGAUAUAAGUGCAGAACUGCCUGCCGAUUUCAAAAAAUUAAAAAAAAUUAAAGAAAAAAGAACUGACUGCCGAUGGCCACUCAAGGUAGUAAAAACUAUAGGAAUGCUAUUAGUAGUUCCAGUGUUCCACUGGUAGCUGCCAUUUGCGCUUUGCUGAUCCGUUAGGUGCGGAGCCAGCGACGAAGAGAAGAGUUGAAGCGUCUCUCUGGGGGUUAGUUGAGGCGUCUCUCUUUUGCACCUCAUCAAUAGAGACAAAUAAUUUGAGUUGCAUAUUUUUUGACUACUGACUGGACACCCAAUCGAGGUCCACAAAAAUAUGGAGUAGCGUACUCUUCUGGCACUCCUAUGCGUUGAACUUCUUCGCCUCGCCAUCUCAUCUGCCCAUCCGUGAUUUUCCAUCGACCGGCCAGGCCUUCCUUCUGUAUAAAGCGUCUCCUAAAUCACCGCAGAGUGUACACCCCCACAUAUCUGAAACCUAGUCAUCUUCCUUUUGCUCUCUGCUUUGCUACCCUGUUCCCCGACCAUGGCAGAGCUGCUGGACGAGUUCGCGUCCAAGCUUGUGGGCAUCCUGGCAGGCAUGGUGAAGGAGGAGGUGGAGAUGCUCCUCGGCGUGCCGGGUGAGGUCACCAAGCUCGAGACCACGCUCCGUGACCUGAGCGACAUCUUGGGUGAUGCGGAGAGGAAGCGCAUCCGUGACAAGGCUACGGAGGGUUGGGUGAGGGAGCUCAAGGACGUCAUGUACGACGCCGAUGACGUCCUUGACCUCUGCCAGCUCAUGGAGGGCGGAGAAGAUCCUCCCGCACCAACAUCUGCUCCAAAAACCACCUCAAGGUGCUGGGACAUCCCCAAGAUGUUCUUUUGCUUCCGCAACCCUGUUGUGGCACAUGAGAUUGGAACGAAGAUCCAAGCGAUCAACCAGCGACUGGAAGACCUGGCAACGAGGAGCUCCCGUUUCGGAUUCAUCACCCAAGCCAUCCAUUCCUCAGCUGAUUCAAUCAACAAAGCUUCCAAUUCUUUGUCGACCGACGAGACUGGAUCGGUUUUUAUCCGGUCUGAUGUUGUCGGCGAGAAGGUUGAGGAUGACACGAAGAAAAUUGUAGAUCUACUCAUCAAGAAGAUGGAUGCUCCCGUAGGAUCAAGGGCCAAUAAUGAUGUGGUUGUUGCUGUUGCUAUCACAGGCACAGGUGGGAUAGGCAAAACCACUCUUGCUCAGAUGGUCUUCGGUGAUAGUAGGGUGGAGGAAAAAUUCGAGGAAAGGAUCUGGUUGAGCGUUAACCGUGAGUUCAAUGAGAUCAACGUCCUACAAAGUCUUAUAACUUCUUUUGGUGCCAAACAUGAAGGCUGUGCGGGAAACAAGGACCUACUUCAGCGUGCCCUGAAGGAUACGAUCCGGCAAAAGAAGAAGUUUUUGUUGGUGAUGGAUGAUGUGUGGAGGGAAAAUGUGUGGUAUAAGCUGCUUAGAGAGCCGCUCAAUCAUGGUGCUUCUGGCAGUCGAGUCUUGGUGACCACAAGAAAUGAUGGAGUUGCUCAUGGGAUGAAAGCUCAACAUCUCCAUCCAGUUCACAAGCUAACAACGGAAGAUGCUUGGAUUUUGCUAAAGAACCAGGUCAGUAAUAACUUUUAUUUAUUACAGUAAUUAUUUAUGCAGUAAUUUGAAUUUACUGUAACAACUUUUAUCUCUUCUUAAUUACUUUCUCUCCCUUGGAGGAAUGCACGAUAGCCCACUGCUCGUUAUUUCUCUUGUCGCUCUUGUCCGAUCUGAUUACGCAAAGGACCAUGUAAUUUCACUACGAGCCUUUUAUCAUACUUUCAUAAGCUCUUGGCUUAGCAAAACUUGUCUCAUGGUUAUAUUUAGUUGAACAUAUCCUAUUGACGUUGAGGGAAGUUUUGUUUAGUGCAAGGAAUCGGAUACCGUAGCCUAAGAGGGGGAGAGGGUGAAUUAGGUAACUUAAAACCUUAAUCUAUAGCUUCCGCUACUUUUGCAUCAAAUUUAAUUAGAUCAUGUAUCAAGAUGUGUAACUAUGGUUGAUCUAGUGUGAAAUCCUCAUCCUAAAAUUAGUUUUGCAACCUAGAGGCAAUCCUAACAAGAUACUACACUAAGAAUGUAAAGGCACACAAGUUGCAAGUAUGAAAUGUGGAAAUGAAAAGGAGGGGAUGAGGGGAAGCAAACUCUUGACACGAUGAUUUAUCCCGUUGUAUCGGUAGGCACUAAACCACCGCUAGUCGACAUUGUUGAAGCACUCACACAAGAGUAUUGCUUUCCGGUCACCAAGUCUCUCUCGGGAUACUCCUUGCUUUGCCACGAAGGCUUGGCCGCUAAGGCUCACGUCAAAUUCUCAGGUCACCUUGAUACCAUCUCCACAAAGGAGCUUCUCCACGAAGGAAGGGGGUCUCCACGUUCCCUGCAUAUUGUCGUCGACGCCGAUCCAUGCCAAACCGGAGGGUCGAAGACUUACCGGCGAACUACCAAGGCUCCAAGAUAGCACACCUUGUACAGCUGUGGUUCACUCCUAGAACCGAUCACAAGGCAGGCACACCUUGCACUCUCUCUUCUCUAGGCCUAUCCUAGCACUAAAUAUUCUUAUAAGCUUGUGCUAAGCCUUUGAUUAAUCACUUAUGCACUUUUGGUGGCUUGGAUGUGUUCUUGAUGAGUCUUGAUCUCCAAUGGACUUCUGCAUACUCCAGCUUCAUCCAGCAACUCCAAUGGGUGAGUGGAGGGGGUAUAAAUAGCCCAAGAACUCAAAGAGCCGUUGCUCCAACGGCUAGUUAAAGUAUACCAUCGGAUGUUCCGAUGGUAUCAUUCGGGGUAGCAUUCGAACAUCUGGUUCUACCAGCCCUUGCCUCCCCGCGCUUAGAUUCUACUCAAGUUCCUCACCGACGCAAUCCAUCGAUUGAUCAAGUGGUCCCUCUAGCACCCAUCGGAUCAUCCGGUGCAGUAGCUUCCUAUGCCAAAACGUCUCUGUUAGUUUCUAAAAUAAAUAUGCUUCAUCCGAUGCCCCCACGACACAUAGCGUCGGAUCAUCCGGUGCCUCCUUCUUUCUUCUCUUUGCUCCGGCGAUUCAUCCGAUGGAUACAAAACUUAGGCCAUCGAAUCAUCCGAUGGUCCUACUUUGACUUGGUCUCCACAUGGCGUACCAAAAGCUCCGAUGCUUGCACCGAUGCUUUUUCAACUGGCCAUCGAAACAUCCGAUGGUCUCAAAAACCUGCUUCACGCUUGGCACCGACUGAUUCGGUGGGCACCUUCUUCUUGUCACCAGAUGAAUCGGUGACUAUAAUGAUUCCUGUUUUUCUUUGAUUCUUUGCUUAUCUUUGGUUGUGGUUGCUUCCUCAGGACCUAUAAUACCUUCAAGAUAUGUUUUCAAUGCUUUGUUAGUCCUGAUGACCGUGUUGUCACAUUAAUCACCAAAAUCACAAACAAAUAGCCUAUUCGGGGCCAUGUUUGCUACAUUUAGGCUAUUCCCAAUGGGGAUUUCAUAAGAGUUUCAUUUAAUGAUGCGACACACCAACAAUUUUGAUGAUAUGGCAUGCUAAUAAUCAUGAAGAGAGAGAGGGAAUGAGUUUAAUCCUGAUUAAACUAUGUAUACAUUGUUUCCAAGACUAUGAAACCUGAUGAAACUAGCAUUGGGGAUUAGAGAGUUUCAUUUCAUCUCAUAACAUCCAAUCACAUACCUCGCAAUUAAACGUUAUGUCCAGCCUAUGAAAUCGCGAAAUGAAACUCUCCAUUGGGAGAUCUUGUGUCAUACAUCCACUCAAACAUCUUUCGAUGACGUACCACUCUUGAAAAUUGUAAUUGAAAUUUCCCACUGGGAAUAGCCAUGGUUGCUCUAGAGUCUAGACUCUAUUUAAGUCACUUCAACUUUUUCCCUACACACAACCCCUGCAACAGUUAUGAUACAACAUAAAAUCCAUUGGGAGCUUUUCGAUUCUAGCACCAUUUCCUCUCUCAAACUUGCUGCAUUUUUUUUCCAAUACUAGGUAGUUUCGAAUGAGAGUGAUGAAGCCGAUGUCGAUGAAUUGAAGAGUAUCGGGAUGGAAAUUGUUGAAAGAUGUGACUGCUUGCCGUUAGCAGUUAAGGUCCUUGGAGGACUCUUGCGUCACAAAAGGAGAACAAGGGAUGCCUGGACGGAUGUUAGUAGCCACGAUAUUUGGUCGACAAUAGGAAGCGAUGAAGAUAUUAAUAAAGCGGUCUAUUUGAGUUAUGAAGAUUUGCCUUCACACUUGAAGCAAUGUUUUGUGUAUUGUUCGCUAAUCCCUAAAGAUCACUUGAUAUCGAGUGGAGUAAUAGUCAAGCUUUGGAUUGCAGCAGGUCAUGUACACAACAAGAUGAGCUGUAAGGUACCAGAAAAGUUGGGGAAAGAAUACUACAACGAAUUGGUUUCAAGAAAUCUUCUAGAACCAGACAAAAGUUACUAUAGUACAGUAGUAUGCAGGAUGCACGAUGUUGUCCGUUCCUUCGCUCAGUAUAUAAUUAAAGAUGAAGGGAUACUUAUUAGUGAUGGGCAGGAUGUUAAUAGAACUCUUAGCACUGCAAAGCUUCGGCACCUAUCUAUCUCAAACACGACAGUAGGGCAUGACACUUUGCAAAAACAAGCCUUGCUUAGAACAUUAAUUUUAUUCGGAAGCAGUACCACUGUUGAGCUAAAGGAUCUGUUGAACAACCUUUCUUGCCUGAGAGUACUACAUCUAGUAAAGGUAGAUUUAGUCGAGCUGCCAGACUCCAUAUGCCACCUCAAACAUUUAAGAUACUUGUGUAUUUGUAACGCAAGCAUAUCCAGAAUUCCUCAAGGCAUAGGAGAUCUAAAAUUUCUACAAUCUAUUGACCUUGAUGGGUGUGCAAAUAUUCAUCAACUUCCUAACAGCAUCCUAAAGCUGCGGAAGCUAAGGUCACUCAACUUGAGCGACACGGCAAUCACUUCAAUUCCUCGUGGCUUGGGAAAACUAGAAGAUUUGGUCACCAUAAGGGGGUUUCCAACACAUUAUUCAGAUGAGAGCACAGGUGGCUGGUGCAGCAUAGAAGAACUCAGACCUCUGUCGAAGCUCCAAAGCCUUGAAAUAAUAUGUCUGGAGAAGGCACCUUCCGGUUCUAUGGCUGCUAAAGCAAACCUUAGCAGUAAACAUCACCUGACAUGGCUAGAUUUGGUAUUUACCAGCAGGCUAGGAGACAACGGGGUGGUCGAAGGCAACAUUAGCGAGGAGGAACACAGGAGAACAGAGGAGGUGCUGGAUAAUCUGUGUCCUCCAACUUGCAUGGAAGAACUUGAUAUAAAAGGCUACUUUGCACGUGGGCUACCGCAGUGGAUGAGAACCAUGUCAGCCUUUGGGAGCUUAAGGCGGUUGGUGCUACAUGACUACGCAUGCUGCCCGCAUCUACCUAAUGGAUUGGGGCAGCUCCCCUUUCUUGAUUAUUUUUGGGUCAAACGUGCUCCGUCUGUCCGGUGCGUUGGGCACGAUUUCCUCUUCCCCUCCUUGGGUGGUCAAGCUGAUGGCAAAGUAACACGGAACAAUAACAGGCAGCCUCAUCAUACUUCGCGUGGUGCUGGUGUUGCUUUUCCCAAGCUGUCAGAAGUGGGUUUUGUAGGCAUGCUGGGAUGGACGAAUUGGGAGUGGGAGCAGCACGUCCCAGCGAUGCCUACACUAGAGGAGCUUACAAUCAGAAACUGCAAACUGCAACACCUUCCUGCAGGGCUUGCAUACCAUGCAUGCCGGUUGAGAGAGUUGGACCUGAGAAAUAUCCAGCUCUUGGUCUGUGUGGAGAACUUCCCUUCACUAGUCAAGCUUUGGUCAUAUGACAACCCAAGGCUGGAGAGGAUCAGCAACAACCCAAGCUUGCAAUGGAUUGACAUUAGCAAUUGCCGAGCACUAGAGGAAUUGGACGGUUUGCCAUCCCUCCUAAGCCUUGAGUGGUGGAAUUUGAGUGCUGAAGCACUCCCAGAAUACUUGCGAGAGGCAAAGCUAAAGAAAUUGCGUGUAGAUUGCAGCCGAAGAUUGCUCAAACUGAUAGCACUACAAGAUGAAUCCUCCGAAUGGGGAAAGAUCCAGCAUGUCCAGCAACUAAAGGUGUAUGGAUGCAAGAUAGAAGGAGAAGCGGAGGAAGCCGACCAAUCGCACGAAGAUGAGGAUGCCGAGUGGUACAUCUACUGUACCAAGGAGCCGUAUUCAUUCGACGCAUACCUGGGCAAGUCCACGGGUGAGUUCAUCUUCGACCUACUCGGUGGUUUUAUAACUGUAUGUGUGUACACUCAUGUAAAAAUGGAUUUCUAACUGUAUAUUCACCUGCGCACAGGAUGAAGAUGAAGCAGAAGUAGACGAGGUGAACGAAGAGCAGAGUCCAGGAAUAGAACAUAGUAAGAAUGCAAGGAACAGAGGAAGCUCUCAGGCUGUUACGACAGGAGGAGCAUUCGAAUCCAUCCACCAAAUACUAGGUAUGAAUUGCCCAAAUACUAAUGGUCUUGUAGUUGUACACGCCAAAUUGGCUGUGACUAUUCUAACUGGAAAGCAUUGUCGUGUUAACGCAGGAGAAGAACACAUCGCAAUUGGCAUACUGUCCCUCAAAUUCGUAAGUUGUAUAUGUUUGUGUGCGAAAAAUAUAAUACAUCAGUAAGGCGCGAGCGUCUCUCUAACCAGUUGUUGUGACGCUCAGGAAGGGAGCGCCAGCACGGGCGGCCUUGGACUCGUUGGAGCGAAUACGCGUCGGGGACGAGCGAUGGGCUGAGAGCUGAAGCACUGAACGUGCGCGCGAAGGGCAGCAGGGAAGGGAUUUGCACAUUUAGCUCCCAGGAUUUGCACUUCUUGUUGGCGUAUUUGUAGGCAGGUCUGCACUCCAUCUCUUCUUUUUGGUUGGUCUGUGCUAGCUCGUCAGACUUUCUACAGUGUUUUUGAAUGUUCGAUAACAAAUGAGUGUAGGAAUUUGCAGACGUGCUCUAUGAUGCCGAGAUAACAAUUGCAUCCCCCCCUCAUGGAUCCUCUGGAAAGCUGAAGCUACUCUGCAAGACUGCAACGAUUGCAGCAACACGGACGUGCCUACUAAAAACAUGGUGCAAUAAAACUGCGAAAUGCUAAACAAGGUCAAGCCGGCAGCCAGGUGAGCAACAUUCCAGGCAGCAGGCAUAUUCUGAGCCGUUCAGCGUGGACCGGAGCCAACAACGGGGAUAAGAAGUCCCAACUAGUAGUAGUUGGCAGCCAAUGCGGUGGCCAAAAUUUGACCAAGCCAAGGCUAGUAAACAGCAAAUUUUGUAGCAAACCAAAAUUAAAAUGCGACGUAACCAAAGCGCUGGCGUAACCAUGUCGACAUUAGACCUGAUUUGUUAAUACGUGCUGAGAUGGCGAGGCAUAUCUUGUAACCAGCGACGAAGAGAAGAGUUCAAGCUGCAUUGGAUACAUGUGCUCCUGCCUCCUGGGGGUUAGUUGAGGCGUCUCUCUUUUGCACCUCAUCAAUAGAGACAAAUAAUUUGAGUUGCAUAUUUUUUGACUACUGACUGGACACCCAAUCGAGGUCCACAAAAAUAUGGAGUAGCGUACUCUUCUGGCCCUCCUAUGCGUUGAACUUCUUCGCCUCACCAUCUCAUCUGCCCAUCCGUGAUUUUCCAUCGACCGGCCAGGCCUUCCUUCUGUAUAAAGCGUCUCCUAAAUCACCGCAGAGUGUACACCCACACAUAUCUGAAAUCUAGUCAUCUUCCUUAGUCAUCUUCCUUUUGCUCUCUGCUUUGCUACCCUGUUCCCCGACCAUGGCAGAGCUGCUGGACGAGUUCGCGUCCAAGCUUGUGGGCAUCCUGGCAGGCAUGGUGAAGGAGGAGGUGGAGAUGCUCCUCGGCGUGCCGGGUGAGGUCACCAAGCUCGAGACCACGCUCCGCGACCUGAGCCACAUCUUGGGUGAUGCGGAGAGGAAGCGCAUCCGUGACAAGGCUACGGAGGGUUGGGUGAGGGAGCUCAAGGACGUCAUGUACGACGCCGAUGACGUCCUUGACCUCUGCCAGCUCAUGGAAGGCGGAGAAGAUCCUCCCGCACCAACAUCUGCUCCGAAAACCACCUCAAGGUGCUGGGACAUCCCCAAGAUGUUUUUUUGCUUCCGCAACCCUGUUGCGGCACAUGAGAUUGGAACGAAGAUCCAAGCGAUCAACCAGCGACUGGAAGACCUGGCAAAGAGGAGCUCCCGUUUCGGAUUCAUCACCCAAGCCAUCCAUUCCUCAGCUGAUUCAAUCAACGAAGCUUGGAAUUCUUUGUCCGACGAGACUGGAUCGGUUUUUAUCCGGUCUGAUGUUGUCGGCGAGAAGAUUGAGGAUGACACGAAGAAAAUUGUUGAUCUACUCAUCAAGAAGGUGGAUGCUCCUGUAGGAUCAAGGGCCAAUAGUGAUGUGGUUGUUGCUGUUGCUAUCACAGGCACAGGUGGGAUAGGCAAAACCACUCUUGCUAAGAUGGUCUUCGGUGAUAGUAGGGUGGAGGAAAACUUCAAGGAAAGGAUCUGGUUGAGCGUUAACCGUGAGUUCAAUGAGAUCAAUGUCCUACAAAGUCUUAUAGCUUCUUUUGGUGCCAAACAUGAAGGCUGUGCGGGAAACAAGGACCUACUUCAGCGUGCCCUGAAGGAUACAAUCCGGCAAAAGAAGAAGUUUUUGUUGGUGAUGGAUGAUGUGUGGAGCGAAAAUGUGUGGUAUAAGCUGCUUAGAGAGCCGCUCAAUCAUGGUGCUUCUGGCAGUCGAGUCUUGGUGACCACAAGAAAUG